UUAGCUUCCGAGACCGCCAUCUUCAUUUCCUUCCUCGCCACCUUAUAGCUCUCCCUAUUCGCUCUCAUUUCCUCCUUACUUGUGCUCCCUGCCAACUUGGCGAACGCCGCUUUCUUCGCCUCCACUUUUCUUUGAACAAUAUCGUUCCACCACCAGUCACCUAGAUGUCUGCCUGAAUAGAUCUUGGCUACCUCGAGCACAUCUCGCGCUGCCUCCCUAACCAGUUUUACCGUCUAAGACCACAUUGCAUCCGCUUCGCCAGAACUCCUCCAAGCUCCACCAUGAGCUAACCUCCUCUCCAGCUCCUGGGCUUUCUCCUUAGACAAAGCUCCCUAUCUAAUUCGCGGUCGGCCCCGGGCACCCUUCAUCUUCCUCUUCACCCAGAGACCGACGUCCAUCACUAGGAGUCUAUGAAGAGUCAAAAGGGACUCUCCCGGAAUAACCUAUCACAACUCUUCUAAUAAUUUCCUAUAAAUUCUGAGGCAUGGCUUCAUUUUUAAUACACUGAAAAAUUACAGAACUUCCUUCUUUAUGAAAAUACUGUAUUCUAAUUUGCAGUCUUUCUCUCUCAAAAUUAUAAGUGUGAUUUUGCUCUAUUCUUUAGUUCGUUGGUAUCUUGCAGUUUGUAUUGCCACUGUUGCAGGAAGGUUUAUUCUGUUACAUCCUGGGAGGAUUUAAUCCAUUAUCUUGGCAACAUAUGAGGGGGUUAAAAUUCCUUAAGGACCAAGAAAAUUGUGGACUUGGAAUAUUACUUAUUCUUUACUGUUUUCCAGUUUUGUUUAUGCUUCUAACAGUUUUCUGAUUUGGUGUUUUAACACAGUAACGUUCACAAGCUUAAGGAAUUUUAUACUACCGUUUCUGUGUUGAAAUGUACAUUUAACUAUUAUCUAUAUUUUGUAUACUGCUUUGGAUACAAAAGAAUUCGUGCUUUCAAUUCCAAUAAUUAUUCUGUCGAGUUUAAAGUAUAUAAAAACUUUGCCGGAGUAAUAAAUGUAUGGGUUUGAAGUAUAUAAAAACUUCACCAUUAUUACGUGUUGUAUGUCUAGAGGAAUAAAUUUACAUGAACCAACCUGAAGGGUUUGUGGUUCUGGAAAAAGAAAAGAAAGUGUGUCGACUUGUUAAGUCCCUUUAUGGACUAAAACAAGCACCCAAGCAAUGGCAUGCGUAAUUUGACCAAAUAAUGUUGUCAAAUGGCUUUAAGAUUAAUGAAUGUUAUAAAUGUAUUUACAUUAAGAACGUUCCAAAUCAUAUAGUCAUUGUUUGCUUAUAUGUUGAUGAUAUGCUAAUAAUGAGCAAAAACAUUGCCGACACUCGAGCUACUAAGCUUAUGCUUGCUAGUAAGUUUGAUAUGAAAGACAUAGGAGUUGCCGAUGUAAUCCUAGGAAUUAAAAUCCAGAGGACUCCUUAGGUUCUAGCUUUGUCUCAAUCACAUUACCUGAAAAUGAUACUUGAAAAAUUCAAACACUUGGAAUUAAGAAGUGCCAGAACUCCAAUUAACAUAAACAAUCAUCUUAUAAAGAAUAAAGGUGAAAGUACGUCUCAAUUGGAGUAUGCUCGUAUGUUGGGAAGCUUGAUGUACAUCAUGAACUGUACACGACUUGAUAUAGCUUGUGCAAUAAGUAAACUUAAUUGGUUUACAAGUAAUCCCAUCAAACAUUAUUGGGUGGCAAUGAAACGAGUUUUGGGAUAUUUGGAGGAUACCCAAGACUACGCUUUGCACUGCAAUAAAUAUUUUGCAGUUAUCGAAGGAUAUAGUUAUGCAAAUUGGAUAACCGGCUCAAUAGAAACAAAGUCCACAAGUGGAUAUGUUUUUACUGUGGGUGGAGGAGCAGUAUCUUGGAAGUCUUCCAAACAUACGUGUAUCGCUUGCUCUACAAUAGAUCGGAGUUUAUAGCUUUGGAUAAAGCCGGUGAAGAAGCUGAAUGGCUUCGAAAUAUUUAGAAGAUAUUCUGUUCUGGCCAAAAGCUUGGGCUCCUAUUUGCACACAUUAUGACAGUGAGGUUGCAAUAAGACGGGCAAGGAGCAUUAUGUAUAACGAAAAGUCUUGUCAUAUACGACGAAGACAUAACACUGUAAGACAACUACUUUCUAAUGGAAUUAUCACUAUUGAUUAUGUAAGAUCAAAGGAUAAUGUGGCGGAUCCGCUUACAAAAGGCUUAACUAGAGAGGGAGUUGAGAAAUCAUCUAAGGAAAUGAGAUUAUGGCAACGGACAAGUCAACAUGGCAGUAACUCUACCUAGAAUUUUGGAUGUUCCGAGAUCUAGGUUCAAGGAGCUCAAACAAAGUUGAGAUUGAACGGUUGAACAUUAUCAAAGUAAAAUCUUCUGUCCCUUCUCGUGAUGAAGACAAUGUUCAGUAACAAGGAUAGAAGUAUACACGCACUUUAAUGAUUACCUAAGUUUGAUGAGGUAUUUAUCAAAUAGUGUCAAUCUAAAGGAUUACACGUUCAGGAAUCACCUAUGUAAGUGUAAAGUGGAAGCCGCUUCAAUGAGAAUUCUUUAAGGCCAAUUCUCUACGCACUUAUGAAAUCAUGUGGUAUUCAUGGAUAAGACGAACACAAAAAUGAGAACCAAAAGACGGUUAAGGGUUGGUUGUGAGACAAAUGGUUGUCUAGGUAUACACUAAAGUUAGAUGGUUCAAAUAUAUCAAAUCAACAGAUGGACCGAGUAUACCCGACAUAUGUUCACUACGGAAAGUUCAAAGGGAAACAUACUUAUCCAGAUGCAAUCAAUCCUUACUUCCAAAUCACACAACUUUUAUCUAUGAUCUUUUUUAAUACAUCCAUUCUCAUUCAUGUAGGGGAUUGUUGGACUUUAAAGCAUUGGUCUUCAAAGACUUUAAUCAUUGAGCUUUAAAGUAUAAGAGUGGGAAUUAGAAAUGAAGAAAAAUGAAAAUCUGAAUAAAGUGAGCUUUUGUCUUGCACUUUGUCCCUCAUUGGUGAUGACAACUACAUUUGUGUGUGUGUAUAUACAUACAUAUAUAUAUAUAGUCACUUCCUAAAGCUCUUAAAAGAAGUUAAAGAGAAUGAACCAUCGCGUCGUCGUCGUCGUCGUCGCUCGGCUCGGCUUCGGCUUUGGAUUUGGAUUUGGAUUUUGAUUUGUCAAAUGAUCGACCGAUAAAAUUAUUUUUCAACAAAUUUAUUUAAUUAAUUAUUUAAUAUUUAAUUAAUUGUCAGUUAGUUAGCCGCUGUCCGGGCGUGACUGCGGUAGGACCACGCCAGAACACUGCUGCAGAUUCUAUCUGAAGGCCACUCUGGCCGCGAUCCUGGCGUAACCGCGGUAGAACUGCGGUAGAUUUUGUCUGAAGGUCACUCUGGCCGUGGUUCUGGUGUAACCGCGGUAGGACCAUGGCGAGAUACCUUUGUAGAACAGACACCUUUUUUCCAAAACAAACAUCACGCCUCUUCUAAUAAUUUGCUAUUAAUUCUGAGGCAUGGCUUCGUUUUUAAUACACUGAAAAAUAACAGAACUUUCUUUUCUCUAAAAAUAUUACAUUCUAAUUAGCAGUCUCUCUCUCUCUCUCAAAUUUGUAAGUGUGAUUUUGCUCCGUUAUUUGAGUUAGUUGGUAUCCUGCAGUUUGUAUUACCACUGUUGCAGGAAGUUUUAUUCCGUUUUAUCCUGGGGGAAUUUAAUGCAUUACCUUGGCAACGCGUGAGGGGGUUAAAAUUUCUUAAGGACACACAAACAAAUUGGUGGAGGAGGUAAUCCAUUACCUUGGUAUACUGCUACUGCUGCUGCUGCUAGUGCUACUGAUGCUGCUGCUACUGCUGCUACUGCUACUGCUGCUCCUGCUACUGCUACUGCUGCUACUACUACUACUACUACUACUGCUAUUGCUACUGCUACUGCUACUGCUACUGCUACUGCUACUGCUACUGCUACUGCUGUUGCUGCUACUGCUACUGCUGUUGCUGCUACUGCUACUGCUGUUGCUGCUACUGCUACUGCUGCUGCUGCUAUUGCUACUGCUGUUGCUACUGCUACUACCUACUACUACUGCUGCUACUGCUGCUACUGCUGCUGCUCCUACUGCUACUGCUGCUGCUACUGCUGCUACUACCUACUGCUACUGCUACUGCUACUACUACCUACUGCUACUGCUACUGCUACUGCUCCUACUGCUACUGCUACUGCUACUGCUACUGCUCCUACUGUUACUGCUACUGCUAUUGCUGCUGCUACUGCUACUGCUACUCCUACUGCUACUGCUACUGCUACUGCUACUACUACUAUUACUGCUAUUACUACUGCAACUACUACUACUAUUACUAUUACUAUUACUACUACUACUGCUGCUACUGCUACUGCUACUGCUGCUACUGCUCUUGCUACUGCUACUGCUAUUGCUAGUGCUAGUGCUACUGCUAUUACUUUUCAUUGAAUUCUGUUUCUCCGAGGCUUUGAUAACCUCAUUUAUCAUCACCUCAAUUUUUGCGUGCGCCUUCCGGACGCGUAGCCGGAAAGCGUAAAUAUAAAAUUUUGUGAAAAAUGAUAAGUUUUUAUUAUAAAAUGAAAAAAUUUUACUUCGAUCAAUAUUUUAGGGGAACAGAACUUAUAUAUGAAUUAAGAAGUUUCUGUAAAAUUUGGUGAAAAAAUGAAUGUCGUUUGACAUGAUUCGGACCUAAGUUGCUAAAUUUGAUACUUGAUGAAGUUUGAGAAAAAAUCUUGAUUUUGAGGUUUGGUUCAUUGUUAUUGAGGUCAUUUUGGUAAUUUGUUUGCAUUGUUAAGUUUGUCUGAUGUUGUUGGGUUAGUACGUGUAUUUUGUUAGGAGCCCCGAGGGCUCGGGUGUGAUUCAGAUGUGUUUCGGAAAAUUUUCAACUUAGGAACAAGUUGGAAAAAAUCUGCUACAAGUGCUCAGGCCUGUUGUUCAUUGUGAUCACGUAGUCACUCUAACGAUAGCGUAAGGUAAAUAGGGACAGGGGCGAAUUUGUUAAUUGUGAAUGCGAAGCCACUGUUGCGAACGCGGAGCUUUGGGGUAUUUCUCAUCACGAACGCGUUCUGUGUGACGCGAACGUGUAGUAUUAUUGGAGGGGGCUGGGAUUUUGGUUGUUCUUCUACGCGAAUGCAUACGUGUGUCCGUGAACGCAAAGGUCAGGGGGUUCAACCCUUAGUGAAUGCAUCGAGGAACUCGCGAUCGUGUAAGUCACUUACUGGCAACCUUCGCGAUAGCGACAGUGUUCUCGCAAAUGCGAUGAACACUGUUGCUCAGCACUUAAAACAUUAGCUAAAACGAGAUUUGUUCAAAAAAUCAUAACUUCAUCUCAAAUCCAUAUUGGGUGAUUUUUGAAAGAGGAUUUCACCAUAAAGUCAUAGGUACGUUAUCUUAGACUGAUUUUCUUCAAUUUUCAUUAACACCCAUUAGAUUUCUAGGCCUAAAUCAUGUGAUAAGCGUAUAAAAUUAGGAAUUUGGGUAGAGUUAGGGCUUUUUGAUUAAUUAUGAUUUAGACCUUGUUUUACGGUCAAAUUCUGAAAAUAAUUAUAUAUUCGGGUGGGUGAUGGGUGAUUUGAUUUUGGUACGAACCUCGUAUUUUUACCAAGCGCGCCCAGGGUUGAUUUUUGUAUUUUUUGGAAGAAUGAUUGAAAAGCUAUGAUUAGGCAUUGGAUUUGAAUUCUUUAGCAGUUGUUGAUAUUAUGAAGUCAUUUAUGUAUAGAUACAAGUUUUGGAGCUGAAUUCGAGAGAAAAUGCAGUAUUUGGUGAUUGAGUUGGUCGUGGAAGUUUGAGGUAAGUGUUAGGUCUAACUUUGGCUUGAGGGAUUAGGAGUUGAGUCUUAUUUGCUAUUUGCUUCCUGUUGAGUAUGACGUAUAGACAUGGUGACGAGUAUCUAUACGUUGGUAUCGAACAUGACCGUGAGUCUUAAAUUAAUACUUGUUGUAUUCUUGAAUAAUACUAUGGUUUCAAUAGUAAGUAAAUCCCUUGUAUUGAGCAAAGACUUAGUUUAUUUAUCGUGGAAUCUAUUUGUGAUUGAGAAAUGGUGAUAAUUGGGACGAUUAGGAGUUUAGUUGAAAUUGGUUAUAGGUGAUUCUCCCUUGCAUGUAUGUAUAUACUUGUAUUGUUGAGUUCCUUUGCCGGGAUAGUAUAAUUUAUUUUGAUCCCUUGUCGGGACUGUUGUUAUGAUCAUUGUAAGCUGUAAAUUUGAAACGGUUUGCGUGCAUAUGUAUAUAUAUAUAUAUAUAUACAUAUAUAUAUAUGUAUAUAUAUAUAUAUAUAUAUAUAUAUAUAUAUCGGACUACACACCAUAACAGAUAUUAUGUUAGAUCAAGUUGCAUGCCGUAAGAGAUAAUAUAUUGGAUCGGAUUGCACGACGAACAAUUAUUAUAUUGAAUCGGGUUGCACGCCUCAUCAGCUAUAUAUAUGUAUAUAUAGGAUCGGGUUGCAUGCCGCCACAGUAUUAAAUAAUAAAAGAUCGGGUUGCGUGCCGCAACAGUAGUUUUAUCGUAUUGUUGUAAAUAUUGUAAUGUUCUUCCAAAUAUCUAUUCGAUUUCUACUAGGUUGAUAUGUUCCCUGAAGCAUGUACCUCCUCCCUUUUAUACUAUUAUUUCCUGUUUAUUUUUCCGUUGUAUAUUAAAUAACUACAUAGGUUUUAUCUGGAGUCUGGUCCUAGACUCGUCACUACCUCGCUGGGAUUAGGACAUAUACUUAUCAGCACUUGGGGUCGGUUGUACUGAUGCUACACUCUGCACUUAUGUGCAGACACCCGAGCAACACUUGAUCAGCAGCAGUAGCGCAGGAGCCAGCCUUCAAUCCACCGAGAUACCGAGGUAUCCUUGCAGGCAUUCGCAGGUCCGGUAUCUCCUCUAUCUUAUAUUAUGUUCUGUUAGCUCGUGUAUUUGAGACAAACAUUGUUAUCUUUCCUUCAACUGUUGUAUGUAGUACUCUUAGUAACCUGUGGAUGUUGUGACAUAUGGUUUUGGUUAGAGGCAUGUGUUGAUAUUUGAGAUAUUUUGGUUUUAUAUUCAUUUAAUACUUUCGCUAAAUUUUAUAUUCUGCUAUUAUUUAAAUGUUUAUCACUUGUUAAUGUAACUUGUAAGAAGAUUUAAAACAAACGAGUUAAUGAUUUCUAAGUUCAUGGCUUGCCUAGCUUCUACGAUGAGGCACCAUCACGACUCCCGAGGGUGGAAAUUUCGUGUUGUGACAAGUUGGUCUCAGAGCUCUAGGUUACAUAAGUCUCACAAUUCACGAAUAAGCUCAGUAGAGUCUGAGGGAUCGGUACGAAGAUGUUUGUAUAUAUAUCCCUAGAGGCUAAAAAGUUAGAAAAAACUUCACACUUGUUCUUUCUUGUCAUGCAGUUUUGUUUCUCAAUGCUAAUUGAAUUUCUACUAUGUUCUUUCGCAGAUGGCCAGAACACGCGUUUCCUCAUCUAUCGCUCAGCAGCCCGAUCCCCCAGUUGCAGCUUCCACAAAGGGCCGAGGGCGAGGGCAAGGCCGUGCUAGUGGCCGGGGUAGGGGCAUAGCUCAGCUCCGAGCAGCAGAACCAGUGGCUGAGCGUCAAAGUUGAUUUUGAUGAGAAGGUUCCGACCCCGGCAGUUUCGGUAGGCCCAGCUCAGGUCCCAGAUGGGUUUAUUGCUACCCUAGUUCUUCUGGAUGCUCUGUUCGAUUAGUGGGCCUUAUGGAGAGUGACACACAAGCAGGCUUACUUCCUGUAGCACCAACCGUCUCUCAGGCUAGAGAAGGGGAUAAGACUCUUGCUAUUCGCUCUUCGGAGCAGGUAGCUCCCCAGAUUUAGACUCCAGCAGUUCAUCCAGUUGGAGCAGUUCAGCCGGGUGUGGUAGCUCAGACCGGCGAGGGAGCAGCUAUUUUUGUCGAUGAUUUGUGGAGGCUGGAUAGGUUCACCAAACUCUUUACUUCUACUUUCAGAGGUGCAUCUACUGAGGAUACCCAGGAUUAUCUAGACAGUUUCCAAGAGGUUCUCAGGGACAUGGGUAUUGUUGAGACCAAUGGGGUCGAAUUUGCUACAUUUUGCCUAUUUGGAUCCACCAAGACAUGGUGGAGGGAUUAUUGCUUAGCUAGGCCAGCCGGAUCGCCAUCUUUGACUUGGUAACAGUUCAAACAGCUAUUUCUGGAGAAGUUUCUCCACUACUCAGAGAGAGGCCUAUCAGAGUCAGUUUGAGCGCCUCCAGCAGGGUUCCAUGACGGUUACCCAGUAUGAUACCAGGUUCAUCGACUUAGCUCGCCAUGCUCUUGUCAUACUUCCUAUCGAGAGAGAGAGAGAGAGAGAGAGAGAGAGAGAGAGAGAGAGACAGAGGUUUAUUGAUAGUCUUAUUCAGCCGAUUCAUCUUCAGAUGAUCAGGGAGGCUGGGAGUGAGAUCACUUUUCAGGAGGCGGCCAAUGUGGCCCGCAGAGUUGAGAUGGUUCUGUCAUAGAGAGGUGGUCAUGGGUCAGAUAAGAGACCCCGACAUUCAGAUAGAUUCUAUGGUGCCUCGUCUAGAGCCAGAGAUUUAUAUGGUAGAGGCCAUCCUACUAGGGCCUUUCAGUCAGCUCCUCAGGCCUCUCACAGUGCUUCAGGUGGCCGUGGUUCUCGCAUGCCCUACAUUGCACCAACAUCUCCUAUCAAUGCACCACCACCCCAAAGUUUUCAGGGUGGUUAUUCUGGUUACCAGGGUCAGUCUCAGUUACCUUAGCCGCAGUAUUCAGGUGGGAGUUAUGAGUAUGGUGAGUAUGGUCAUAUUCGGAGGGCUUGUCCGAGGUUGGUGGGUACUUAGUCGCAGCAGCAGGGUUCCCGUGCUAUGAUUUAGGUACGAUAUGUUCCACAGACAACCCAGCUAGCUAGGGGCGGGGGUAGAGAUGUUAGAGGUGGAGCUCAGACUGGCAGAGGUGGAGGCCAACCAGCUGCAUGCUGUUCUGGGGAGGUAGUCCAACGUAGUAUGGCCCAACCCCGAUGUUAUGACCUUCCAGCCAGGCUCGAGGCUGAGGCUUCAGAUGCGGUGAUCAUAAGUACAGUUCUGGUUUUUGAAAGAUGCUUCAGUGUUAUUUGAUCCAGGGUCUACAUACUUAUAUGUUUCAUCUUAUUUUGCACUAUAUCUUGUCAUGCCUAGUGAUUCAUUGAGUGUCCCUGUUUAUGUGUCUACAUCGGUGGAUGAUUCUAUUGUGGUUGAUCGAGUCCGUCGUUCUUAUAUUGUGGUGAUUGGGGGUCUUGAGACUCGUGUAGAUUUGUUGCUUUUAGACAUGCUCUAUUUCAAUUUUAUAUUAGGGAUGAAUUGAUUAUCACCUUACCAUGCUAUCUUGGAUUGCCAUGCGAAGACUGUGACAUUAACUUUACCGGUUAUGCCUCGUUUAGAGUGGAAAGGGACUCAUGGUCAUUCUACCCGCAAUGUUAUCUCGUAUGUGAAGGCUCAGCGCAUGGUCGAGAAGGGGUGUUUGGCCUAUUUGGCGUAUGUUCGUGAUUCUAGUGUGAGGUUCCCUUUAUUGAUUCUAUACCCGUUGUUCGUGAGUUUCCUAAGGUAUUCCCUUCAAACCUGUCAGGGAUGCCACCCGAUAGGGAUAUUGACUUCUGCACUGAAUUGGCUCCGGGCACUCAGCCCAUUUCUAUCUCAUCGUAUCUCAUAGCCUCACCGACGUUAAAGAGUUGAAGGAUUAUUUACAAGAUUUGCUUGAGAAGGGUUUCAUUAGACCGAGUGUUUCGCCUUGGGGUGCGUCGGUGUUGUUUGUUAUGAAAAAGGAUGGUUCGAUGAGAAUGCGUAUUGAUUACCGACAGUUGAACAAGGUUACAAUCAAGAAUAAAUAUCCAUUACCGAGGAUUGAUGAUUUGUUCGAUCAGCUUUAGGGUGACAAGGUAUUUCAAAGAUUAAUUUGAGAUCUGGCGACCAUCAGUUGAGGAUUAGGGCAUCCAAUGUCCCUAAGACAGCUUUCCACACUCGGUACGGGCAUUAUGAGUUCUUGGUUAUGUCAUUUGGGUUGACCAAUGGCCUAGUAGCUUUAAUGGGCUUGAUGAACUGAGUGUUCAGUCCUUAUUUGGACUCGUUCGUGAUAGUCUUCAUUGAUGGUAUUUUGAUAUAUUCCCGCAGGCAGGAGGAGCAUGAGCAGCAUCUCAGAGUGGUUCUUCAAACUCUGAAGGAUAUUUAGUUAUAUGUUAAGUUCUUGAAAUGUGAGUUAUGGUUAAGUUCGGUUGCAUUUAUGGGUCAUGUUGUAUCAACAGAGGUUGUUCAGGUUGAUCCGAAGAAGAUAGAGGCAAUGAAGAUUUGGCCUAGACCGGCAUCAACUACAGAGAUUUGGAGUGUCCUGGGAUUGGCAUGCUACUAUCAUCGAUCCGUGGAGGGGUUAACAUUUAUCGCAGCCUCGAUGACCAGGUUGACCUAGAAGGGUGCCUAGUUCAGAUAGACUGAUGAGUGUGAGGUGAGCUUUUAGAAGCUCAGGACAGCUCUAACUACGGCACCGGUGUUGCUUUUGUCCAUAGGUUCAGGGCCUUAUAUAGUUUGUUGUGAUGCAUCUCGUAUUCGGCUUGGUGUAGUGUUGAUGCAGGAUGGUAAGUCAUUGCCUAUUCUUUGCGGCAAUUGAAGAUUCAUGAAAAGAACUAUCUUAUUCAUAAUUUGGAGUUGGCAACCAUUGUUCACACAUUGAAGAUUUGGAGGCAUUAUCUGUAUGGCGUGGCAUGUGUAGUGUUCACGGGUCAUAAGAGUCUUCAGUAUUUGUUCAAGAAAAAGGAGUUGAAUUUGAGGCAAAGGAGGUGGUUGGAAUUGUUAAAGGAUUAUGAUAUCAUUGUCUUAUAUCAUUCGAGGAAAGACAAUGUGGUGGCCGAUGCUUUGGGUAGGAAGUCAGUCAGUAUGGUCAAUCUUGCUUAUACUACGGUCGAUGAGAGUCCGCUUGCUUUGGAUGUUCAGGCUUUGGCCAAUCAGUUUGUGAGGUUGGAUAUUUCUGAGCCUAGUCAUGUAGUAGCUUGCACGGUCGCUCGUUCUUCUUUAUGGGAGCGUAUCCAUGAUCGACAGUAUGAAGAUCCCCAUUUGUGUGUCCUUAGAGACACGAUGCAGCACGGAGGUGCCAAGCAGGUUACCUUAUAUGAUGAUGGAGCUUUGAGAUUGCAGGGUCGAGUAUGUGUGCCUAAUGUAGAUUGGCUUCAAGAGUUGAUCUUAGUGGAGGCCCAUAGUUUCCGAUACUCUACUCAUUCGGGCACCACGAAGAUGUAUCAGGAUUUGCGGUAGCACUAUUGGUGGCAUAGAAUGAAUAGGUAUAUCGUUGCAUAUGUGGCUCGGUGUUUGAAUUGUCAGCAGGAUAAGUAUGAGCAUCAGAGUCCUGGUGGAUUGUUUCAGACGAUUGAGCUUCCCGGGUGGAAGUGGGAGCGGAUCAUUAUGGAUUUUGUUGUUGGAAUCCCACAUACUCGAAGGAAGUUCGACACAGUUUGGGUGUAGGCUGACCAAGUCAGCGCAUUUCCCUCCUAUGGCGGUAUCCUAUUCAUCCGAGAGGUAAGCUGAGGUCUACAUCCAGGAGAUUAUUCGUCUUCACGAUGUGCCUGUGUCUAUCAUUUCAGACCGAGGUACGCAUUUUACCUCGCGUUUGUGGAGAGAAAUUCAGCGAGAGUUGGUCACUCAGGUUGAGUUGAGUACAACAUUUCAUCCCCAGACGCACGGGCAGUCCGAGCGGACAAUUCAGAUUUUGGAGGAUAUGCUCCGAGCUUGUGUCAUUGACUUUGGAGGCUCGUGGGAUCAGUUGUUUCCUUUAGCAGAGUUUGCCUACAACAACAGCUACUAGUCGAGUACCUAGAUGGCUCCUUAUGAGGCUUUAUAUGGUAAGCGUUGUCGGUCUCUGGUUGGAUGGUUUGAGCCGGGGGAGGCUCGAUUGUUGGGUAUGGAUCUGGUUUAGGUGGCCUUGGACAAGGUCAGGAUUAUUCGUGAUAGGCUUCGUACAGCUCAGUCCAGGCAAAAGAGGGAUACAGAUCGCAAGGUUCGAGAUAUGGCUUUUAUGGUUGGUAAGCGGGUGUUACUUCGAGUGUUGCCUAUGAAGGAUGUGAUGAGAUUUGGGAGGAAGAACAUGCUUAGCCCUAGGUUCAUUGGUCCAUUUGAGAUUAUUGAUCGAGUGGGGGAGGUGGCAUAUAGACUUGCAUUGCCACCGAGCUUAUCAGCUUUGCAUCUAGUGUUUCAUGUGUCCAUGCUUCAGAAGUAUCACGGCGAUCCAUCUUACGUGUUAGAUUUCAGCACUGUCCAGUUGGACAUGGACUUGUCGUACGAGGAGAGCGGUAGCCAUUCUAGACUGUCAGGUUUGCCAGUUGAGGUCGAAGAGUUUUUCUUAUAUUCAUGUUCAGUGAAAAGGCCAGCCCCUUGAGGCAUUGACCUGGGAGUCCGAGUCAGAUAUGCGGAGCCAUCCUCAUCUUUUCCCCCGACUUAGGUACUUCCUUCUUCUGUUCGUUCGAGGAUGCACAGUUGUUUAAGAGGUGGAGAAUGUGACGUCCCAAAGGUUCAUCACUUCCUUUUAAUUGAAUUCUGUGUCUCAGAGGCUUUGAAAAUCUCAUUUAUCAUCCCCUCGAUUUGGAUGCGCAGCCCAGGCGCGUAGCCGGAAAGCUUAAAUAUGAAAUUCUGUCAAAAAUGAUAGGUUUUGAUUAUAAAAUGAGAAAAUUUGACUUCGGUCAAUAUUUUGGGUAAAUGGACCCGGACCCGUAAUUCGACGGUCCUGGACAGUCCGUAGGAAAAUAUAAGGACUUGGGCGUAUACUCAAAAUCGAAUUUCGAUGUCCCAAGCCCGAGAAAUAAUUUUUUUAAGAAAAUUGUUUUUUGGUGAAAAAACGGACGUCGUUUGACCUAAUUCAGACCUAAAUUGCUAAAUUUGAUAAUUGUUGAAGUUUGAGAAAAAAUCUUAUUGGCAGCCUUUGCGAUCGCGAUCGCAUAAGUCCACUAACUGGUAGCCUCCGCGAUCACGAUAAUUUUGUCACGAACGCGAUGAACACUGUCGCCCAACACUUAAAAUAGUAGCUAAAACGGGAUUUGUUCAAAAAUUCAUAACUUCUUCAUCUUAACUCCAAAUUGGGCGAUUUUUUAAAGAGGAUUUCACCACUAACGCAUAGUUAUGUAAUAUUAGACUCAUUUUAUUCAAUUUUCAUUAACAUCCAUUAGAUUUCUAGGCCUAAAUCAUGUUAAUAAGGGUAGAAAAUUAGGGAUUUGGAUAGAGUUAGGGCUUUUGAUUAAUUGUGGUGUAGACCUCAUUUUGGGGUCAAAUUCUGAAAAUAAUUAUAUAUUUCGGUUCGUGGGUGAAUGGGUGAUUUGAUUUUGGUCCGAACCUCGUGUUUUGACCAAGCGGGCCCGGGAUCGAUUUUUGGGUUUUUGGGAGAAAGUAUCAGGAAGCUAUAAUUAGGCAUUGAAUUCGAAUUUUUUAGCAUUUAUUGAUGUUAUGAAGUUAUUUAUGUAUAGAUACAAUUGAUUUGGAGUCGAAUUCGAGAGGAAAGGCAGUAACUGAGGAUUGAGUUGGCCGUGGAGGUUUUAGGUAAUGUUCGAUCUAACCUUAGCUUGAGGGAUUAGGAGUUGAGUCAUAUUUGCUAUUUGCUUCUUGUUGAGUAUGACGUAUAGGAAUGGGGAUGAGUAUCUAUAUGUUGGUGUAUAACAUGACCGUGAGUCUUAAAUUGAUACUUGUUGUAUUCUUGAAUGAUAUUAUGGUUGCAAUAGUGAGUAAAUCCUUGGUAUUGAGCAAAGAUUUAGUUUAUUUAUUGUUGAAUCUACUUGUGAAUGAUAAAUAGUGAUAAUUAAGAUAUUAGGAGUUGAUUUGAGAUUGGUUAUAGUUGAUUCUCCUUUGCCGGAACGUAUAUCCUUGUAUUGUCGAGUUUCCUUGCUUGGAUAGUAUAGUUUAUUUUGAUCCCUUGCCGGGAAUGUUGUUAUAAUCAUUGUAAGCUGUAUAUAUGGAACGGAUUGUGCGCUGCAACAUUAUUAUUAUUAUUAUUAUUAUUAUUAUUAUUAUUAUUAUUAUUAUUAUUAUUAUUGUUAUUAUAUAUAUAUAUAUAUAUAUGUGUGUGUGUGUGUGUGUGUAUGUGUGUUGUGUGUGUGUGUGUGUGAUCGGGUUGCACGUUGCAACAGUGUUAAAUGAUAAGGGAUCGGGUUGAUCACCGCAACAAUAGUGUUAUUAUAUUGUUGUAGAUAUUGUACUGUUCUUUCAUAUGUCUAUUCGGUUUCUGCUUGGUUGAUAUGUUCCUCGAAGCAUUAAUUUUUAAACGGUUAUUUUCUGUUUAUAUUUCUGCUGUAUUGUCACGACCCAAACCUCGGUUGUGAUGGCGCCCAACACCUUGUUAGGCAAGCCUAACCAUUUAGACAAUUCCCAGCAAAAUAAUUAACUGAAAUUACCAAGUUUAGAAUGACAUUCUCAAUUUAAUACUAAUAAAACACUGCGAAAUCCGUAACCAAAAAUAACAAUAUCCCAAACGAUCUGGCAUCACAAGUCAGAGCCUCUAAGUACAACCGAACAGCAUCGUAAACAAAGAAAAACUAGCUACGAAAGCAAAAGAUAGAUAAGAGGAGAGAUCAAGUCAUGUGGACGCCAGCAGCUACCUUGAUAACUCCGGUACUGGACUGAGGAACAACAGAUAAUCGCAGCUAAGCUCCGGGAUCCCUGUAUCUAUACACAAGGUGCAGGGAGUAGAGUGAGUACUUCCAACUCAGUGAGUAAUAGCAAUAAAUAACAAUUGAAUGUAAGAAAUACGCUAAGAACACUAUAUAUUUCUAAUAUCAGCAGUAAAGGCAAUAAAUAAGUAUGAAACAUGGAAAAGAAACUGAUAAAUACUUCUCUUUCCGUCUGACAAGUUACUAACACUGCUCCGGCGCGCAACCCGAUCCAAUAUAAUAUAUAUAGUACUGAGGCACGCAGAUCCAAUAUACAUAUAUAUAGUACUGCGGUGCGCAGCCCGAUCCAAUAUACAUAGUCGACUGUGCUCACUGGGGGGUGUGCAGACUCUGGAGGGGCUCCUACAGCCCAAGCGCUACAAUACUGCGGCGUGCAGUCCGAUCCAUAUAAUAUAUCACUAGGUCGUGCAGUCCGGUCCAUAUAAUAUAUAUACUACUGCGACGUGCAAACCGAUCCAAUAAAUGUAUAUGUAUACACUGCUGCGGCGUGCGUCCCGAUCCUGUAUAUACCAAAUUCCCUCACCCUGGGGUCCUUGACCCCUCUUAGUCAAUAUAGAUUUGGCCUCUCGGGCCCACUCAGCUAAGACAGGGUAUUCAACCCUAGGUACUACUCAUUUAGGGUGCAAGUUACUACGUCCGGUUCAUUUCAUGAUUCACAGUUAAAGUCAGGUCAGAUAAUGGGUGUUCAAUAGGUAAAGUGAGGUCAAUCAACUCAACAUGCUCCUAAGCAUUCUACAUAUUGGCACUAGGCCCCAAACAUGGCAUCUAGCCCAAGAUAUACGGGUACAAGCUCAAUCUCAGUCAAAAAGUGCAGUAAGUCAUCAAUCGGAUGAACCAAGUCCGAGUCCCCAACAGUAACAUCACCACGCUCAUAACACUGCGCGUGUUUCCUCUCUACAUAGUACUGCAUAGUGCAAAUAUGGCGUUUCAAACCCUCAUUAUAUCAUUCAUAACUAUUACCCACCUCAAGCCGGCCAAACUCCUAGCUCGCCUUGCACUUUCCUCACAAAUCGACCUCCUCGAGUGCAGAAUCUGACCAAAAACACAAGGAAUGUGUUAUAAUAGGCUAAUAGGACAUAACCCAAUAGAAAGUACUCCAAAAGACCCAAAAACACAAAGUUGGCAACACUCGAGCCCCAGGCCCACUCUCGAAAAAUUACAAAAUUCACAUCACCUGAUUCCUCGUCUCGCCAUGAGUCCUUGCAUAUAAAGUUUACAAGAAUCGGGGUCCGUUUGACCUUCAAAUCACCACUUUACUCUCUCUUAGGUUUCAAGCCCUAACCACCACUUUUUUCCUUAAAAACCAUGAAUUUCAGUGUUUAAUCUACUAUUUUGAACCAUAUGGACAUAAUCCGAGCCCAAGAAUCGCCUAAGUUCGAGUUCAAAUAUUUUCUCCCUUCUCUUUUAAAAUUUGGAAUCACUGUACACAAAAACCAGGUUGAUUUCCGCUUACGCGGUCAACUGACCGCACCUGCGAUUACCGCUUAUGCGGCCACACGACCGCUUAUGCAGUCUCACUUAAAUCACACGGGACCGCUUUUGCGGUCAAAAUGCCGCUUCUGCAGUAACCGCAUAUGUGGUUACCAAACGGCUCCAGUGGUCCAAGUCGGCCCUCCCUCAGGCUGCUUAUGCGGAGAAUCGUCCGCAUUUGCAGAACCGCUUUUGUGGCUCCUCUUCCGCAGAUGCGAAAAUACCAUAAGUAAAACCUUGUUUUCAUGCAACAACUCCAAAAACCUCAGUUCAACCACCCGAAUUCACCGCGAGUCCCCCGGGACCUCAACCAAAAGCACAGACCAUACGUAAUACUUCAUUCAAACUUGCUCGAAUCAACCAAACGCUAACGUUGACAUCAAAAUCCUCAAUUAUUAUAAAUUCAAAGGCUAAUUUUCUUAAAAUCUUCUGAAUUGCGUAUUCGAUCAAAGUCCGACCUAAACACUUCCGAAUGAUCUGAAAAUUUACAUAUAUAUCAGAAAUCACCUAACGGAGCUAUUGCAACUGUCGGAAUUCCAUUCCGACCCCCGGAUCAAAAUCUCACCUAUCAACCGGAUUUCGCCAACAUUCAAACUUAGUCAAUUCAAAAAUAAUUCUACACUGGACCUCCAAAUUCAAUUCCGAUUUUACCCCUAAGUCAUAAAUCAGCACCCGAAACUAGCCAAAUCAUCGAAAAUCCAUUCCUAGCCCAAUAACUCAUAAGUCAACAUCCGGUUGACUUUUUCAAACCAACCUUCCCUUAAAGAGACUCUUUGUCUCAUUUUCAACCAAACUUUGUCCAAAUUUCUUCAAACUCUUCAAGCACACAUAAUGAAACAUAUAGAAGCAUAAAACGGGGAAACGGGAUGGUAACUCAUGUGACGACGGGCCGGCUCGUCACAUGUAUAUUAUAUAACUGCACAUGUUUUUUUAUCUGGAGUCUGGUCCUAGCUUCGUCACUACCUCACCGGGGUUAGGCCAGACACUUACCAUCACAUGUGUUCAGUUGUGAUGAUGCUACACUCUGCACUUAUGUGCACAUACCAGAGCAUCAUUUGAUCAGUAACACUAGCUCGUGAUCCAGCCUUCAGUCCACCGAGACACCUAGGUGGCCUUGCAUGCGUCCGCAGGCCCGGUGUCUCCUUUAUCUUAUAUAUUAUGUUCUGUUAUCUCAUGUAUUCGAGACAAAGAGUUUUAUCUUUCCUUCAACUGUUGUAUGUAAUACUCUUAGUAAUCCAUGGAGGUUGUGACACCAGGUUCUAGUUACACAUAUGUGUUGGUCUUUGAGAUAUUUUUGUUUUAUAUUAAUUUAAGACUCAUGUUCGAGACAAAGAGUUUUAUCUUUCCUUCAACUGUUGUAUGUAAUACUCUUAGUAAUCCAUGGAGGUUGUGACACCAGGUUCUAGUUACACAUAUGUGUUGGUCUUUGAGAUAUUUUUGUUUUAUAUUAAUUUAAGACUUCCGUUAAAUUUCAUAUUCCGCUGAUAUUUAAAUGUUUGUCACUUGUUAAUAUAACUUCUAAGAAGAUUUAAAACAAAAGAGUUAAUGAUAUAUGUUCAUGGCUUGCCUAGCUUUUACGAGUAGGCAUCAUCACGACUUCCGAGGGUGGGAAUUCCCGGGUCAUGAUAAUGUUAUAGUAAAGUUUUAAAGAAGAAAAUAGUUUUUUUGAAGAUAUAUUGUUUGAUUCGAUGUGGUGCUAUAAAAUAUUGCUUAUACUAUCUUCGAGUAAGCUUGCUAGAUUUAAAUUUUUGUCUGUAUUUGAAUAUUCAUCGUUGUUGGGCUUGAAACUCAAUUUUAUUUUUGAAUAUUUCUUGUUUGAGUCAAAGUGGAUGCUGUUAAAUAUUUCUUAUAGUACCUUUUGGACGUUAAUACUGAAAUUUGAUGGCAUUUGGACCUGAUUUGAGGUGAUUGAGAUCGCAUUUUUCAGUUAAAAAUCGAAGAAGAACACAUAUAAAGUAUACCGCUAUGGUAUACAAUAUGAUGUAGGAGUAUAUAGCUAUACUGCAACAGUGCACUAUUAUAGUUUACAGAACGGUAUACCGCCACAGUGUACUAAUAUACUAUAGGACUAUAUAGUCCCUUUUAAUUUGUCUUAAACUUUUAUCCAGCGUGACGGGCAAAUUGGAAAUGCUAUAUACAUACAUAUAUAUAUAUAUACAUAUAUAUAUAUAUAUAUAUAUCUNNNNNNNNNNNNNNNNNNNNNNNNNNNNNNNNNNNNNNNNNNNNNNNNNNNNNNNNNNNNNNNNNNNNNNNNNNNNNNNNNNNNNNNNNNNNNNNNNNNNNNNNNNNNNNNNNNNNNNNNNNNNNNNNNNAUAUAUAUAUAUAUAUAUAUAUAUAUAUAUAUAUAUAUAUAUAUAUAUAUAUGAUGUAACGGUAUACUCUUAUAAUUAGAUACUUUUAGAAUUUUUAAAAUUUAUUAUUGACAACAAAUAUUAUUUUAAUUUAAUAAUUAAACUAACUUUUUUAACUCAUUGCGUAUAAUUGUAUACCAUGUUGGUAUAGCUAUAUAUUAUACUAGUAUCAUAUGUUAGUUAAUAUUUUUUUAGUUGUAUUAGCUACAUUUAAUUGGUACGCAAUUUGAUUUUACUUUAGUAAUAAUAUAAAAAAAGAAUAAUAAAAAUAGUGAGAACAGUAAAUGAAAUUAGAUUAUGAAGAGAAACAGAAUAUAAAAAAAAGAAGUUAAAUGAAAUAAGAAAAAGAAAAAAGAAAAAAUAAGAAGAAAACGAGAAAAAUGAAAAGGAGAAAAGAAAGAAAAAGAUAAAAGAAAAGAAAAUAAGCAUAGAAAUAAAAAAGAAUUGGAGAAUAAAGAAAAAAUUCCCUACAAAACCUACUAUGGGUAGUGUAUAGGGUAAAGUUCGGCUCGUAAUGUCCCCACGCCAAGCAGGCACGUCCAUUAUGAUAAGGUCGACCCCAGUGAGGGCACGACCCAGUUGAUAAAGUAAAGGCGACGUCGUUUAGGGUCUUGCUUCUUUAAUACGAAGAAGUCACCUACUUUUGUACUUUUUCUCUAAUUAUUUCGAGGAAGGUCUCCUACUAUAUAAAUGAGACCUUCACCUUGUAAUAGGAUAUGUGUUUUUCUGAAUAAUACAACUCUUUUACUCUCUCUCUCUCUCUCUAUCUCUAACAUGCAUUCUCUCUCGUUCUAAAGUUCUUACUAGUUCUUCACACUUUCAUAUCUACAACAAUCUUAACACAAUAAUCAUCUCUAGGACUCAUUACAUUUGAUUACGAUUUACCCUUAUCCAUUUAAGAUUGUUUUUAAGCUUAUAAAGUGCAAAUAUAAAUUUUGAGCCAAACAAUUUGGCACCGUCUGUGAGGAUUUCGAGAAUAAAAAUCAUAGUUUGAACCUAGAGAACCAUCGAAAACCCUUCUCUACAACACACAAACAAAAGAUGGCUGACAACAAUGCAAGAAUAAAAGCAAUGGCAGAUGCCAGAACCGACCUUAUGGGUCCUCUCAAUGAAGCAGGUGUAAAGGAUGUCUUGAAUGCAACCCCUAGAACCAUAGUAAAUGGGGAGAUCCCACCUCCCUCGCCUGAAGACCUGGCUAUCUCAUGCGAAAAGAAGGCUUCUACAUCUGCAACUAAAGAGGCACCCCCAGAGGUUAGGAAACUACUGAAAGAAUGGUUAACGAGUACUCUAAGUGGAUUGGUUGAAAAGUCACCCCAAAACAACGUCAGAUGCGUGCCAACAGUAGACCUUGUUGCAGCUGAAGGUGAACCCGAGAUCGUACAAGCAAACAAUGUGCUCAUCGAUACUUGGGACAACAGUGGCACGCUCACAGCCAUCCUCAAGAAGAUGGAAGAAAUGGAAAACUAAAACAAGUCACUUCGUGACCAGAUGAGGGAACACCAGUAGAGGGUAGAAAAGAUACCUGGUGCUCCCAAGCUGCUGCCAAACCGUGACGUGGGGAGGUUUUUUGAACAACCUUACACAGAAGAGGUUUCACCGUACUUCAUCCCAAAAACCUUCCAAAUGCCUUCUUAUUUAAGAGCGUACGACGAAACUAUAGAUCCCGACGAUCACCUGAUCCACUAUGUCACGGCUGUAAAAGGUAACAGUCUGUCAAAAGAGCAGGUACCGUCCGUGAUGCUGAAGAAGUUUCGCAAAACACUGACAGGAGGAGCACUAAUCUGGUACUCCCAGCUUCCGGCCAAGAUCAUUUCUAUGUUCGAGUAAAUGGCGGACAAGUUUAUUACCGCCCAUGUAGGAGCAAAGAAAGCAGAAGCAAGAUUCAACGACAUCUUCGCUGUUCGUCAAACCACAAGAGAAGGACUCAGGGACUUCCUAGCCAGAUUUAAUAGAGUAAGGAUGAGCCUACCAAACAUGUCGGAAGGCAUGGUGGUCGGCGCUUCUUAGAACAAAUUCAACAAUGAUAGCUCAAGGGCAACCAAAAAACUACUAAGUCGUCUCAUGAAGUAUCCUACCAUCACAUGGGAAGAAAUCCACAACGCCUACUGUGCUGAGGUAUGUGUAGAUGAGGACGACCUCAAUGAUCUGACCUAAAAUUUAAUAACAAUACACCUAGAAAUCAAGAGGGAUAAACAGAACGAAGGAUGGCGGGAACAAGUCCCACGUCCCAAUAGGAAGAGGCGCCAACCUUAUGUCAGAUCUUCUCAUCCACCACCACCAAGGCACAUGAACUCACUACAUCGACAUGUCGCCCAACUACAAAAGGAUAGAGGUAUGUCUCCUUUAUUAUCUGCACAUAAUUUCUGUGUGCCCUUUGUCGGAAGGCAUGGCGGUCGCCGCUUUCCAAAACGGGUUAAGCAGGGGCGGCUUGAGGGCAACAAAAAAACUACUAAGUUGCCUCAUGAAGUAUCCUCCCACCACAUGGGACGAAAUCAGCAACGCCUACUGCGCUGAGGUACGUGCAGAUGAGGAUGACCUCAAUGGGCCGACCCAACGUUUAACAACAAUACACCCAGAAAUCAGGAGGGGCCGAUACAACGAAGGACGACGAGAACAAGUCCCACGUCCCAAUAGGGAGAUACACCAAACCAACAUCAGAUCCUCCCACCCACCGCCAACCAGGCAUACAGACGCACUACAACGACAUGUCGCUCCCCUACAAAGCGAUAGAGGUUUGCCACAUUUAUUAUCUUCCCAUAAAUUUUGUGUGUCCCCUUCAGAGAUACUGUACGCACUUGAGAAGCUGGGCAACAAGGUGAAAUGGCCAAAAAAGAUGACGUCAGACCCCGCCACAAAAUAUCAAACACCUUGUGCAAGUUCCACCAAGAACAAGGGCACAAAAUCGAAGAUUGCAUAGGCCUACGGCAAGAGGUGGUCAGGAUGUUGAACAAAGGGUUCCUGAGAGAGCAACUCAGUGACAAAGGAAAAAUCAACUUUGCUCGUGGACGGGAACAACCCCACAUGCUACCAAAUCCGCCUUCACCAACAUGCACAAUCAACAUGAUAAUCGGAGAUGGUGAUUACUUGGCGAUUAAUCACGUCAAAUUUAUCACUACGCACAAGCUGAAACGAACCAUUGCCCACAAACGGUACGAAGACUUCGAAGAUAGUAUCACCUUCGAUAAGUGCGAUACCGACGGUUUGUCUUUACCUCAUUACGAUGCCUUAGUUAUCACUUUAUGUAUCGUAGAUACGGAUGUCAAAAUAAUCAUAGUUGAUGAUGGUAGCAGCGCCUGUAUUAUCCACCCGAGGGUCCUCCUACUAAUGGGUCUCGAGGAUAAGAUAAUAUUGCGCUGCAUAACACUAACUGGUUUCAAUAAUGUAGUGGAACGAACCUUCGGGGAGAUAUCACUUCCCAUCCUAGCAGAAGGGGUCACGCUGGAAAAAACUUUCCACGUGAUGAACCAAGAAACGGUAUACAACGCCAUCAUCGGACGCCCAUGGAUACAUGCCAUGAAAGCGGCCCCAACGAGCUUCUAUCAAAUGAUCAAAUUUCCCACCCCAUGGGGAGUAUUCAACAUUCAAUGCGAGCAUCACACCACUCAGCAAUGCUAUAAAAUAGCUCAAGACUGUGUCCACACCAAACAGCUUAAAGGGGCGAGCACAGAGGCAUAUCAAUCAGGUAUGUCGGGGACUAAAGUCUAUCCGACAGAGAAUGCCAUCAGAGACGCUAAUAUCAUAGAAGCCUGCAAGUCCACGGUCGAAGACCUCGACCCAGUCUAACUGGACAACGAUGACCCUGAAAAGAAAGCCUACAUCGGUCACGGCCUCUCAAAUCCAAGUAAGCAUCAUGAAUUUUUAUCUAACCAUGCAGACCUGUUUGCUUUUCCCCAUUCAUAUAUGACAGGGAUCCCACGAGAAAUCGCCACUCACAAGCUGAAUGUCGACCCAUUACACCCGCCCGUGCGGCAAAUGAAAAGAAAAUUUAACGCCACUGUCAACGAAGCUGUCAUCGAGGAAGUAGAAGAAUGUCAGGCCAAUGGCUCCAUCAGGGAAUCAAAGUACCCUCAAUGCGUCACCAAUGUCGUCAUGAUCAAAAUAAAAAUGGGAAGUGGACAAUGUGUGUGGACUUCACCGACUUGAACAGGGCAUGCCCGAAAGAUUCUUUCCCACUACCCCACAUCGAUCAGUUGAUAAACGCGACCGCAUGGAAUGAGCUGCUAAGCUUCCUAGACGCAUACUCUGGCUACAACCAAAUCAUGAUGGUCGAGGAGGAUCAGGAAAAAACAACUUUCAUCACCCACCAAGGGACAUAUUGCUACAAGGUAAUGCCCUUCAGGCUAAAAAAUGCAGGAGCCACGUACCAAAGGCUGGUCAUCAAGAUGUUCAAAGAGCAACUAGGUAAGACCAUGGAAGUCUAUAUCGAUGAUAUGUUGGUAAAAUCGGCAAAGAAAGAAGACCACAUCAUCCACCUAAAAGAGACCUUCGAGAUACUAAGGAGGUAUGAGAUGAAGUUGAACCCCGAGAAAUGCGCAUUCGGUGUGGCCUCAGGAAAAUUCGUAGGGUUUCUCGUAUAGAAAUGAGGCAUAGUGGUCAACCCAGACUAGAUCAAGGCGAUAGACGCAAUACCUGAAGUGCUAAGUAGUAAGAAACAAGUACAGAAGCUGACAGGGCGUAUAGCCGCUCUAUCCAGAUUCAUCUCACGGUCAUCCGUCAGGUGCCAUAAACUUUUCAAUGUGCUCAAAAAAGACAAGGGCUAUAGUGGAACGAGGAAUGCGUUGAAACCUUGAGAAAGCUGAAGGUGUACUUGUCUUCGCCACCCCUGCUAGUCAAAGUGAGUCGAGGCGAACCCUGCUGGUGUAUCUUGCUGUGUCAGAGGUCACUGUUAGCGCCGUCCUAGUUCACAAAAGCAAAGGUACACAAUCCCCUAUCUAAUUACAUUAGCAAAAUCUUAGUGGACGCCGAAACUCGGUAUCCACACCUCGAGAGAUUGGCAUUGGCACUGGUAGUAGCUUCGCGGAAGCUACUGUCCUAUUUUCAGUGCACCCUAUAAAAGUGGUAAUGACCUUCCCAUUAAGAAGCAUCUUACACAACCUGAAUUAUCAGGCCGGCUCGUCAGAUGGGUUAUUGAGCUCAGCGAGCACCACAUCUUGUACCUUCCAAGAACCGCCACCAAGUCUCAAGUUUGGGACGAUUUUAUAGCCGAAUUUAGCGCAGAAAUCCUUCCAAAGGCAGAACUUGAGGCACAGCAUGCCUCCACCAAUAAUGACCUAUGGGUUCUCUACACUGAUGGAGCUACCAAUGCAUCAGGAUCAGGAAUGGGAAUCAUCCUCGAGGUUCCUACGGGUGAAACGAUUCGCCCUAAAAUGACUAACAGCGAGGCCGAGUAUGAGGCCGUUAUUGCAGGUAUGAAACUAGCCAUCAAAUAUGGGGCUGGCCAACUCAUCCUCCACUGUGAUUCCUAACUCGUAGUACACCAAGUCACUGGGACAUACCAGUUCAAAGAACAAAGAUUGCAAAAAUACCAGUCAGAAAUCCGCAGGUUAAUGGCUGAGUUCGACGAAUGCCGCUUCGAACAGAUUUUGAGGACACGAAAUAUUAAAGAAGACGAUCUAGCAAAGCUAGAUACGGCCACUAAAACUUCAACAAAGAAAGCGUGGUUACCCUCCUCCAUUCCACCAUUGAUCAUAGUGAGAUAUUCUCUUUAAAUUUGACUUGGGACUGGCGCAACCAGUUUGUAUCCUUUCUGCAGGACAGAACGCUACAACUCGACAAAAAUAGGCAAAGAAACUCCGCGUGCAAGCUGCUCGGUAUUGCCUAAUAAACAAUGACCUCUACAAAAGAACAUUUGGUGGACCCUUGGCCAAGUGCCUAUGGCAACACCAAGCGAGGCCGGUACUCGAAGAAGUCCACGAGGGCCACUGCGGCACCCAUACAGGUAUAUGCGACCUUGCACAAUACAUCAUACGGGCCGGCUACUAUUUGCCCACCAUGAAGAAGGAGGCAGCAGAAUACGUUCGCCGAUGCAAACAAUGCCAAAAAUACGCCCCCAUGAUACACUAACCAGGAGACCCCCCCCCCCCNNNNNNNNNNNNNNNNNNNNNNNNNNNNNNNNNNNNNNNNNNNNNNNNNNNNNNNNNNNNNNNNNNNNNNNNNNNNNNNNNNNNNNNNNNNNNNNNNNNNNNNNNNNNNNNNNNNNNNNNNNNNNNNNNNNNNNNNNNNNNNNNNNNNNNNNNNNNNNNNNNNNNNNNNNNNNNNNNNNNNNNNNNNNNNNNNNNNNNNNNNNNNNNNNNNNNNNNNNNNNNNNNNNNNNNNNNNNNNNNNNNNNNNNNNNNNNNNNNNNNNNNNNNNNNNNNNNNNNNNNNNNNNNNNNNNNNNNNNNNNNNNNNNNNNNNNNNNNNNNNNNNNNNNNNNNNNNNNNNNNNNNNNNNNNNNNNNNNNNNNNNNNNNNNNNNNNNNNNNNNNNNNNNNNNNNNNNNNNNNNNNNNNNNNNNNNNNNNNNNNNNNNNNGGAGACCCCCCCCCCCCCAUUCAUUUGCCUCUCCAUGGCCUUUCAUCAAAUGGGGAAUGGAUAUAGUCGGCCCCUUACCCGCAGGACGGGGACAGGUAUGAGUUUUACUAGUUUUAUUUGGCUAUUUCUCUAAGUGGGUGGAAGCAGGUGCGUAUGCACAAAUACGCGAACAGGAGGUGAUCGCCUCUAUAUGGAAAAAUACUAUAUGACGCUUCGGCAUCCCCAAAAAAAUCAGUUCUGACAGCGGACAAUAGUUCACCGGUAAAACAAAAACCAAAUUUUUCGAGAAAUGGCGCAACAAGAGGAUACUUUCCACGCCAUAUCACCCUGCCGCUAUCGGCCAGGCAGAAUACACCAACAAAGAAAUAUUAAACAUACUGAAGAAAAAGCGCGAGGACGCCAAAGGUCUAUGGCCCGAGCUGCUACCCAAAGUGUUGGGGCGCACAAGACCACGCCCAAAUCCAGCAUAGGGGAAACACCAAACACGCUAGUCUACGAAACCGACGCGGUCAUACCCAUCAAGGUCGGCGAACCAAGCCGAAGGUAUUCACACACCAGUGGAACAGAAAGUGACGUAAACAGGCUCCAAGACCUCAAUGAAGCCGAGGAGAGAAGAUAAAUGGCCCACAUAAGAAUGGUGGCCCAAAAAUAGCAAGUCAAAAGAUACUAUAACAAGAGGGCAAAGAUAAGACCACUCAAAGUGGGAGACUAUGUCCUCAAAGCCAAUACAUUGGCAUCCAAAGACCCAAGUGAAGGGAAACUGGGCACGAACUGGGAAUGACCCCACAAAAUCGCAGCAGUAACCAGCAAAGGGGCAUUCCAAUUGGAAACGAUGGAAGGGAAAACACUCCAAAACAAUUGGAAUGUUGCCCACCUCAAAGGAAGGACCCUACAAAAUCACAGUAACAGCCAUCAAAGGAGCAUUCCAGUUGGAAACAAUAGAAGGAAAAACGCUCCAAAACAAUUGGAACAUUGCCAGCCUCAAGUAUUUUCACUUCUGAAAGGCGUCUCUCGAGUCGUACUCUUUUUCCCUUACCCGAGUUUUGUCCCAAUUGGGUUUUCUCGAGAAGGUUGUUAACGAGGCGGUAAAGGUCGACCUAGAUUCGACUACGGCAAACAAGUGAUUCGAUGAUAGUCGAAGACGCCUAUAUGGCUAAAGCCAUCAACUCCAUCAUGGCUAAGGCCAUCGAUUCUAUUAUGGCUAAGAUUACCGCUGCCAACGGUCGAUCUAGAUCCGACUACGACAAACGAUUGACUCGACGAAAGUUGAAGCCGCCUAUAUGGCCAAAGCCAUCAACUCCAUCAUGGCUAAGGCCAUCGAUUUGAUUAUGGCUAAGGCCACUGCCGCCAACGGUUGACCUAAAUUCUACUACGGCAAACAAGUGACUCGGCGACAGUCAAAGCGGCCUAUAUGGCCAAAGCCAUCAACUCCAUCAUGGCUAAGGCCAUUGAUUCUAUUAUGGCUAAGGCCACCGCCACCAAUAGUCCACCUUUACUACAACAAACAAGUGACUCGACGACAGUCGAAGUCACCUGUAUGGCCAAAACCAUCAAUUUCAUCAUGGCUAAGGCCAUCAACUCCAUUACGGCUAAGGCCAUCAAUGCCGAUAGUCGACCCAGUUAAGCUAUGACAAAUGUCACGACCCAAAUUUCCCCACCAUCGGGAGUCGUGAUGGCGUCUACUAUCGGAGCUAAGCAAGCCAACUUUAACAUACCUUGUCAACAAAUUCUUCAGCAAAAUAAUAAUAAAAGCAAUAAAUUCAAGCGGAAGUCUUAAUUUUAAGACUAAAUAAAGAAAAUGCGGAAUAAUUAAUAUCAUCCUCUACCCAAGAUGUAGUGUAGCAUCAGCACAACCGAUCCCAUGUGCUGGUAGGUGUCUGGCCUAACCCCAGCGAGGUAGUGACGAGUCUAGACCGGACCUACAACAAUCAACCUAUACUGAUAUGCAUGCAAUAAUGGAAGAUAUACAAAAUUUAAACAGAUAAUAGGGAGGACAUGCUGUGGGGUGAAACAAUUCAGAUAUAUAACCAACAAACAUAAGAAAUGGAAACUGAAUAAUUAGCAUCAAUAAAAGAGAGCCAGUAAAUCAAUAAUCGCACGACACCAACUUUCGUGAUUUUGCUCUCAAUUCUCACCAAAACUGUCGAAUAUAGUGCGCGGCAUCACGCUUCGUGCUUUUCCUAACGUAACUCUCAUAUCAAGGCACAGAAUGACUUUUCGUGCUCAAAUAAUCAGGAACAUGGCAAGGAAAGACCCUUCGUGCAUAAGUAUCAAAACAUGGCACGGAAAGACCCUUCGUGCAUAAUUAUCAAAACAUGGCACGGAAAGACCCUUCGUGCACAGUUAUUAAAACAUGGCACGGAAAGACCCUUCGUGCAUAAUCGCCCUUCCUCGCCCAUUCAUUGAUCACUUGAAUAAUUAUCAAAACAUGGCAUGGAAAGACCCUUCGUCCAUAAUCGCUCUUCCUCACCCAUUCAUCGAUCACAGCCCAUCGAGAAAAGGAAAAUACAACAAGAUUAAACAUUCCGGCAAGGGAGAACAAUUCAACAAUAAGUCCCGGCAAGGGAAAACGAAUCAACAACAAGUCCCGGAAAGGGAAAAAUACCAUACUUACUUCUUUAACUCAUUUACUCCUCAACUAUCAAUUCAUAAUGUAUAUAGCAAGUAAUUAUCUCAAUUGUUUCACAUCUUUUGAAUCUAAAAGCAACUACGACUUACGGUCAUGCUAGACUCGGGUGUAUAGGUAACCAUCACCAUACCUACACACCGAAUCCACAUAGCACAUAGAAAAUAUUGUCCUAAUCCUAUUCCCUCAAGCCAAAGUUAGAACAAACACUAACCUUGAAAGCUCCAAACCCAACUCACGCCUUUAGCACGAAACAAAUAACAUCCUAAUCCUAUUCCCUCAAGUCAAAGUUAGAUCAACCACUUACCUCGAAAGAUCCAAACUCAACUCACGCCUCUAGGAUAGCUUUACCCCUCGAAUUCGGAAUGAAACCGCUCGAAUCUAGUCACAAGUUACCCAAAUGUAUCAAUAAAUGCUAGUUAUAUAAAUUUGCAUCCAUAAGAAUGAAUUUUCCGAAGUUUUACCCAAAAUUCCCAAAUUACCCUCGGGAUUACGUGGUCAAAACCCGAGGUUCGAACCAAAACCGGGUUACCCAUUCCCCUACGAGUUCAUAUCUAUGAUUUGUUUUGCAAUCGGACCUCAAAUUGAGGUCAAAAUCCCCAAUUUUAAGAAAACCUAGGUUCCACCCCAUAUCCCCAUUUCUACCCAUUGAAAGAUUUGAUUUUAAGAUGAAAUCAUGAUAAAAGAUGUUAAAGAUUGAAGAAAUUGAGUAAAAGUUGACUUACAAUUGAUUUGGGAAGGAGGGAGUUGAGAGAAAAUCGCCAAUGAAGGUUUAAGUUUUGAACAAAUUGACUUACAGUUGAUUUGGUAAAAGGAGUUGAGAGAAAAUCGCCAAUGGAGGUUUGGGUUUUGAAAAUAUAAAGAAUGAGGUUUAAAAUCGUAUAAGUAUAGAAUGCACAUGUGCAUAGCUCGCAAUUGCGCGACUGUGUUCGCAAUUGCGAGACUGUGUUUGCAAUUGCGAACUAUACAGGAGAAGGGCGGAUGUCACAAUUGCGAAGAAUUGUUCUCAAUUGCGAAGAAGGCAGACUUGGGCAGGACUAGCUUUUGCGAGGAUAUGUUCACAUUUGCGAACUCAUAGCUUAGGCUGGGGCUUUCGCAUUUGCGAGAUAUUCUUCACAUUUACGAAGACUACUGGGAAAGAUCAGUCAUCGCAUUUGCGAUGCUUCCUUCGCAUUUGCGAACUCAGCAGUUCUGGGACCAUGUUCGCAUUUGCGAACCAGGCUUCGCAAUUGCGAAGCCUGCAGGUCUACAACACCUGAAGCUCAUUCCCAACAUGCAAAAUGAACCCAACACCUAUUCAAAACUCACCCGAGACCUCAGGCCUCCAACUCAAACAUGCACUACAGGUCUGCAACACCUGAAGCUCAUACCAACAUGAAUAUUGAACCCAACACCUAUUCAAAACUCACCUGAGCCCUCAAGGCUCCAACUCAAACAUGCACACAACCUCAAAAAUAUCGUACGGACUUACUCGUGCAAUCAAAUCGCCAAAAUAACAUCAUUUACGUAGAAUCAAACCUCAAAACACAUGAUUUCUCCUUUAAAUUCUCAAGAACUUCAAAUUCCUUUGUUAGUCUGAAACACGUCAAAUGACGUCCAUUUUCAACCAAUCUUUACAGAUAGCUCUUAACGCUCAUUUAAGACCUGUACCAGGUGUCGGAACCUAAAUACAAGCCCGAUACCAUCACUUUCUAACUCAUUUUCAUUUCAAUUUCUCAAUCAAUUUCAGAUAAAUAAUUUCUUUCAAAAAUUCCGUACUCGGGCCUGCGACCUCGGAUUUCAAUUCCGGAAAUAUGCCCGGGUCCCAUUCUACGGACCCUCCAGGACUGUCACAUCACGGGUGCGGGUCCGUUUACCCAAAAUGUUGACCAAAGUCAACUACAUCAAUAUUAUUAUCAAAAUUCAUAGUUUUUAACACAAAAUUCAUAUAUUUCCACAUAAAAAGUUUCCGGCUUCGCGCCCGGACUGUGCAUGCAAAUUGAGGCGACCAAAUAAGAGGUUUUCAAGGCCUCGGAAGCACAAAGAAAGGGAGAAUUACGGUGAUGACCCUUCGGGUCGUCACAUCCUCCACCUCUAAAAUAAUUAUUCGUCCUCGAAGACAAAAAAAAAGAACUACCUGAGUCGGGGAAUAGAUGGGAUAACGGCUCCGCACUGAAGGAAAACUUUGCGACCUCAACUGUCAAACCUGCCGGUCUAAAAUACCCACCGGUUCCUCCUCUUAUGACAGAUCCUUGUCCAAUUAGACAAUACAGAAAUCUAACACGUGGGCGGGAUCGUCGUGAUACUUCCGAAGAAUGGACAGGUGAAAUACCGGAUGCACGACUGACAAGCUAGGCGGCAAGGCAAUUCUAUAAUCCACCUUUCCCACACGAUUGAGAAUCUCAAAUGGGCCAAUAAACCUAGGGCUAAGCUUGCCCUUCUUCCCGAACCUCAUCACACCCUUCAUAAGCGAUACCCGGAGCAAUACUCGCUCACCAACCAUGAAAGCAAUAUCCCUGACCUUACGAUCUGCAUAACUCUUCUGUCUAGACUGAGCUGACUGAAGUCUGUCCUGAAUGAUCUUGACCUUAUCCAAGGCCUCCUGCACUAAAUCUGUACCCAAUAACCAAGCCUCUCCCGGCUAAACCAUCCGACUGGGCACCGACACCGCGUACCAUACAACGCCUACUCUUGUACUAGAUCCAUACCCAGUAGUAGAGCCUCUCCCAGCUUACACCACCCGACUGGGGACCGACACCUCCUACCAUACAACGCCUCCUACGGAGCCAUCUGAAUGCUGGACUGGUAGUUGUUGUUGUAGACAAACUCAACAAAAGGCAAGAACUGGUCCCACGAGCCUCCAAAAUCAAUAACACAGGCUCGGAGCAUAUCCUCAAGAAUAUAAAUAGUCCUCUCAGAUAGAUCGUCCGUCUGGGGGUAAAAUGCUAUACUAGACUGAACCUUGGUGCCCAACUCAUGUUGUACCGCUCUCCAGAAAUGCGAGGUAAACUGUGGACCUCUGUCCGAAAUAAUAGAUAUGGGCACCCCAUGAUGGCGAACGAUCUCUCUGAUAUACAUCUCGGCAUAUCUUUCGAAUGAGUUGGUGGUGGCAACCGGAAUAAAAUGCACUGACUUGGUCAGCCUAUCAACAAUAAUAUAGCAUCAAACUUCUUCUGAGUCAUCGGAAGGCCAGUAAAUUCUCUCCCACUUCCACUCGGGAAUAUCAAUCCUCUUAAAUAACCCACCGAGCCUCUGAUGCUCGUACUUAACCUGCUGACAAUUCAAACAACGAGCCACAAUUGCAAAAAUGCCUUUUUUCAUUCUGCGCCACCAUUAAUGCUUUUCAAAUCCUGAUACAUCUUCGCGGUGCCCGGGUGAACAGAAUACCAAGAACUUUGGACCUCCGCUAAGAUCAGCACCCAAAUACCAUCAACAUUAGGCACACAAACUUUCCCUGCAAUCACAAUACACCAUCAUCUCCCAAAGUCAUUUUCUUGGAACCUCCCCGCUGCACCGUGUCUCUCUAAAAACAAAUGGUGAUCAUCAAACCGUCGCUCCCGGAUACACUCCAUCAAUGACAAAUGAGAAACCGUGCAAGCUAACACCCUACUGGGCUCAGAAAUAUCCAACCUCACAAAUCUAUUGGCCAAGGACUGAACAUCCAAGGCAAGUGGUCUCUGGCUGACCGGAAUAUAGUAAGACUACCCAUGCUGGCGGACUUCCUACUCAAUGCAUCAGCAGCCACAUUGGCCUUUCCCCGAUGGUAUAAGAUAGAAAUAUCAUAGACUUUUAGCAACUCAAACAAAACAUAUCCUCAUCUACCCAUCCUUUUUAUUCACAAACAAAACUUGUGCACCUCAAGGCGAUACACUAGGUCAAAUGAAACCCUUAUCAAGCAAGUCCUGAAGUUGCUCCUUCAACUCUUUCAACUCUAGCGGGGCCACGCGAUAUGGCAGAAUGGAAAUAGGCUGGGUUCCUGAAGCCAGGGCAAUACAGAAAUCAAUAUCCCUAUCGGGCGGCAUACUCGGCAGGUCUGAAGGGAAAACCUCGAGGAACUCCCAAACAAUAGGAACAUAGUUGAUAGAUGGAACCUCUGUGCUGGAGUCGCAAACAUAUGUCAGAUAUGCUAGACACCCUUUCUCGACCAUACGUCGAGCCUUGACAUACGAAAUAAUGCUAUGGGUGGCAUGAUUUUGGGUCCCUCUCCACUCAAGUCGGGGCAACUCUAGCGAGGCUAAGGUCACGGUCUUGGCGUGACAACCCAGAAUAGCAUGAUAUGGGGACAACCAGUUCGUCCCCAUAAUAACAUCAAAGUCCACCAUAUCUAAAAACAAUAAGUCGACACGGGUCUCAAGACCCUCAAAUACCACCACACAUGAACAAUACACUCGGUCGACCACUAUAGAAUUACCAACCGGUAUGGAGACAUAUACAGAAAUACCCAAGGCCUCACUAGGCAUGAUCGAAUAGGGAGAAAAAUAGGAUGAAACAUAAGAGUACGUAUAUCCCGAAUCAAAUAAUACAGAAGCACCCCUAUCACAGUCCAGUAUAGUACCUGUGAUCACAACAUCUGAUGACUCGGCCUCCGGCCUGGCUGGCAAUGCAUAACAACAGAGCUGGCCCUACCUCGCUAAACUGUGUCUCUGGGAUGAUCUGCUGCAGGCUGACCCCUGCCUCUAGUGGUCCGAGCUCCACCUCUACGAUCUCUCCCUCCACAUCUAUGAUCCCUACCCCCGCCUCUAGCUUGUUGGGCAACCUGUGAAUCACCUGUUGCCUGAAUCGUAGGGCGAGGACCCUGCUGAUGAGAACUACCCGAGGCUCGAGGGCAAAACCUGACAAUGUAACUCGGGUCACCACAACCAUAACAUGCCCUCGGGUGCUGAGACUGCUAGCCCUGUCGACCUGUAUGUCCUCCCCUUAAGCUCUAAAGUGGCAGUAUACUGAUGGGGGCUGGUGGUGAGCUGAAAGUUUGGUAAUCCGAAUAAUACUGCUGAGUACCACCACCGCCUGAGUGCCAUAAGAAACCUGAAGUGCCGACUGGAAGGGCCUCUGAGAGUGGCCUCUGUCAUAUGCAUCCCUACCUCCAGAUGAGGUACCACUGAACCUACCAGAAUGACGAGAUCGCACCGCCUGAGUGCCAUAAGAAACCUGAAGUGCCGACUGGAAGGGCCUCUGAGAGUGGCCUCUGUCAUAUGCAUCCCUACCUCCAGAUGAGGUACCAUUGAACCUACCAGAAUGGCAAGGCCUCUUGUCUGAACCCUGACUACCUCCUUGAACCAAUGCCAUCUCUAACAUUGGCCGCCUCCUGAAAGGAUAUAUCACUAUAAACAACCAUGGCCAUCUGAAGACGGAUCGGCUAAAUCAAUCCAUCAAUAAAUCUCCGGACCCUCUCUCGCUCUGUAGGGAGUAUCACAAAUGCAUGGCGUGCCAAAUCAAUAAAUCUAGUCUCAUACUAUGUAACUGUCAUGGAGCCCUGAUGGAUGCGCUCAAAUUGUCUACGGAGUGCUUGACGGAGAGAAACUUCUCCAAGAAUAACUCCAAUCCCAUGACAAAGCUGGAGACCCUGCUGGUCUAGAUAGGCAUUAAUCUCUCCACCAAGUCUUGGCAGAUCCUGCAAGCCUAAAGAUGCAAAAAUCGACCCCAUUGGUCUCCAAUAUACCCAUAGUCCUGAGGAUCUCAUAACAACUAAAUAGAAAAUCAUAGGGAUCCUCCGAUGAAGUACCGCUGAAAGUGGUGGUGAAAAGCUUGGAGAACCAAUCAAGUCUCCACAAAGCAUCUGAAGACAUGGACGUCCCAUCACCGGCCUAAGCUGUAACACCUGUCUGAGCUGCCAUUGUAGGCUGAACCACUGGAACCUGAGUCCGGGGAGCUACCUGCUCUGGAGUAUGCGUAGGAGGAGUUUGAACCCCUCCUCCAGCCUAAGAAGUGGCUAGUGCUACUGACAGCAGACCCGCUCUAGUAACACUGUCCAUAAUGCCUGAUAUACGAACGAGAGCAUCCUUAAGAUCCAGGGGAAACAUAACCCCUCCUGAGACCUGAGCUGGGUCCACUGGAGCUGAUGGGGCUGGAACCUCCCCAUCAAAGUCAAUAUGAGGCUCCACCUCUGUAACUGCUGCCUGGAGAUGAGCUCUGCCCCUACCACGGCCUCUUGCACGGCUUCGGCCCCUGCCCCUCGCGGGAACUGCUGCUCGGAGCUCGCGUUUGCUGCGCGUAGAAGAAGACGCAUGUGUUCUCGUCAUCUGCGAAAGAACAGAUUAGAGCGACAAUCAAUAAUUGAGAAACAGAAUCGCACGACAAUAAUGAACAAAGUGAAAUUUUUCCUAACUUUGUGGCCUCUAGGGGAUAAAUACACACGUCUCCUUACCAAUCCCUCAGACUCUACCGGCUUGUCCGUGAGUUGUGAGACCCAAGUAACAUAAUGCUCUGGUACCAACUUGUCACGACCCGAAUUUCCUCACCAUCGGGAGUCGUGAUGGCGCCUACUGUCGGAGCUAGACAAGCCAAUUUAACAUAUAUUUUCAAUAAAUACUUCAGCAAAAUAAUAAUAAUAAUAAUAAUAGCAAGAAAUUCAAACGGAAGUCUUAAUUUUAAUAUUAAAUAAAGAAAAUACAGAAUAAUUAACAUCAUCCUCUACCCAAGAUUUAGUGUCACAAUACUCAUAGACUACUAUAAGAUACUACAAAUACGAGUCUAAGAGAAAAUACAUAAGAAGUCUGUUUUGAUACAAUGAAAACAAAAUGAAAUGAAAUGAAAUGGAUGAGACUCAGGGCCCGCGCACGCCAGCGAACUACCAAGGAGUCUCUGGACUGAAGGCAUGCUCCCAAUCUAUUGCUGCGGUCCGUAAGCUAUCUCCUGACCUGUGCACAAAAGGCACAUAAGUGUAGCAUUAGCACAACCAACACAAUGUUCUGGUAAGUUCCUGGGCUAACCCCGGAGAGGUAGUGACAAGGCUAGACCGGACCUACCACAAUCAACAUGUACAUAUAUGCGUGCAAUAACGGAAGAUAUACGAAUUUUAAACAGAUAAUAGUAAGGGGACGUACUGUGGGGUGUAAUAAUUCAGAUAUAUAACCAACGACCAUAAGAAAUGGAAACUGAAUAAUUAGUAUCAAUAAAAGAGAGCCAGUAAAUCAACAACCGCACGGCACCAACUUUCGUGUUUUUACUCUCAAUUCUCACUAAAAUUGUCAAAUAUAGUGCACAUCAUCACCCUUCGUGCUUUUCCUCACAUAACUCUCAUAUCAAGGCACGGAAUGACCCUUCGUGCUCAAAUAAAAAAGAACAUGGCCCGGAAAGACCCUUCGUGCAUAAGUAUCAAAACAUGGCACGGAAAGACCCUUCGUGCAUAAUUAUCAAAACAUGGCACGGAAAGACCCUUCGUGCACAGUUAUUAAAACAUGGCACGGAAAGACCCUUCGUGCAUAAUCGCCCUUCCUCGCCCAUUCAUUGAUCACAUUCAAUCGGAGAAAGGAAUAUACAACAAGAUUAAACAUCCCAGCAAGGGAGAACAAUUCAACAAUAAGCCCCGGGAAGGAAAAACGAAUCAACAACAAGUCCCGGCAAGGGAAAAAUACCACACUUCCUUCUUUAACUCAUUUACUCCUCAACCAUCACUUCGUAAUUUAUUUAGCAAGUAAUUAACUCGGUUGUUUCACAUAUUUCGAAUUCAAAAGCAACUACGACUCAUGGUCAUGCUAGACACGGGCGAAUAGGUAACCGUCACCAUACCUAUACACCGACUCCACAUAGCACAUAGCAAAUAUUGUUAUAAUCCUAUUCCCUCAAGCCAAAGUUAGAACAAACACUUACCUCGAAAGCUCCAAACUCAACAACCAAAACCAGGUUACCCGUUCCCCCACGAGUUCAUAUAUGCAAAUUGUUUUGAAAUCGGACCUAAAUUGAGGUCCAAAUCCCCAAUUUUACUAAAACCUAGGUUCUACCCCAAAUCCCCAUUUUUACCAAUUGAAAGCUUUGAUUUUAAGAUGAAAUCAUGAUAAAAGAUGUUAAAGAUUGAAGAAAUUGAUUAAAAGUUGACAUACAAUUGAUUUGGGAAGAAGGAGUUGAGAGAAAAUCGCCAAUGGAGGUUUGGGUUUUGAAAAUAUGAAGAAUGAGGUUUAAAAUCGUCUAAGCAUAGAAUGCACAGGUGCAGAUCUUGCAAUUGCGAGACUGUGUUCGCAAUUGAGAACUAUGCAGGAGAAGGGCCGAUGUCGCAAUUGCAAAGAAAUGUUAGCAAUUGCGAAGAACGCAGACUUGGGCGGGACUCGCAUUUGCGAGGAUAUGUUCGCAUUUGCGAACUCAUGGCUUAGGCUGGGGCAUUCACAUUUGCGAGAUAUUCUUCGCAUUUGUGAAGGCUGGGAAAGAUCAGUCAUCGCAUUUGCGAUGCUUCCUUCGCAUUUGCGAACUCAGCAGUUCUGGGACCAUGUUCGCAUUUGCGAACCAGGCUUCGCAAUUGCGAAGCCUGCAGGUCUACAACACCUGAAGCUCAUUCCCAACAUGCAAAAUGAACCCAACACCUAUUCAAAACUCACCCGAGACCUCAGGCCUCCAACUCAAACAUGCACACAACCUAAAAAACGUUCUACGGACUUACUUGUGCGUUCAAAUCGCCAAAAUAACAUCAUUUACAUAGAAUCAAACCUCAAAACACAUGAUUUCUCCUUUAAAUUCUCAAGAACGUCAAAUUUUCCAUUUUUAGUCGAAAACACGUCAAAUGACGUCCAUUUUCAACCAAUCUUUACAGAUAGCGCCUAACGCUCAUUUAAGACUUGUACAAGGCGUCAGAACCAAAAUAUGAGCCCGAUACCAUCACUUUCUAACUCAUUUUGAUUUCAAUUUCUCAUAUCAAUUUCAGAUAAACAAUUUCUUUCAAAAAUUCUGAACUCAGGCCUGGGACCUCGGAUUUCGAUUUCGGGAAUACGCCCGGGUCUCAUAUUUUUCUACGGACCCUCAGGGACCGCCACAUCACGGGUUCGGGUCCGUUUAACCAAAAUAUUAACCAAAGUCAACUAUAUCAGAAUUAUUAUCAAAAUUCAUAGUUUUUUAACAUAAAAUUCAUAUAUUUCCACAUAAAAAAAUUUCAGCUUUGUGCUUGGACUGCGCACGCAAAUCGAGGCAAGCAAAUAAGAGGUUAUCAAGGCAUCGGAAGCACAAAGAAAGGGAGAAUUAUUGUGAUGUCCCUUUGGGUCGUCACAACAAACAAUUAAUUCGACGACAGUCGAAACCGCCCAUGCCGACCUAGCUUAAACUAUGGUGGAAGGCGCAAAAGCAGCAAUCAGAAACGCAAUAAAACCUCUAAGGAACAAAAGAAGAAUAGUAAUAGCAAAAAGUCAUAUUUCAUUAUCUCCAAAAGUAUAUGUACAUCUGACCCUAGAAAAAGGCCCCAUUUACACAUUAAAUAUACAUACAAAGUCCUAAGAGCCUUGACCGCUCCGUCCAUCACGACCCGCCUGAUCGCCAUCCGGACCAUUGUUAUCUCCGGGCUGAUAGGUCUUAGAAAUCCAUGAACUAGAGUCCAUAUGGUUAACGUCCUCAGAGUUAUAGCACUCCCUACCUGGAGAGUCGGAGUUGUAAUCGCCCGCUUCAUGGGCAACACAGACUAACUGUCAUUGUCUUUCAACUUCCGCCUCAGAAGCCCGACUUGCCGCCAAGAACUCCACAAAUACGACCAAAUUGGCAUCAUCGUACACCCAUAUCUCGAGCACAUCACGAUGCGCAGCAUCUUGUAGGGCAGUUCGAUUGAGAACCGUGACCCGGGUCCGCAGCCUCCGCCGCUACUACACGGAUGAUCUCCAACUCAUCAUCCUUCGACUGAAGAAGGAUCUCCAACUCAGUGUUCCGUGCAACAGCAGCCACGAGCUACUCAUCAACCUUCUCCAAUUCGUCCACUCACCUUUUUAACUGCUCCUCAGAUUAUGCGAGGCCUUCACAGAACAUCCUAAACUUGGGAUCCUGCUUGUACAUAUCAGCAAACAUCUGAUGCGCCUCAUGGAUCCGCCUGUACUUCUGCAGCAAUUUAUUGAAGGCAAUCGCCCUCUUCACAAGCGUCGCCCCCUCUCUAUCUCCAAAAUGAGAGUCUGAAAAAUACCAAAGAAGAAGUAAGUACAAGGAUACGCCACCCCCGCAACACAAAAAAAAGGGUCAAAAAGCUACCUGCAAGGCCGCGCCAGCGACCUUCCAGGAUAAGUUCCUAUCACUUACUCCCACCAACGCCUCGCCCUCAGUGCCCGCACACAGAAUAGUCAUAUCUACAGCGACCUGCACACAAUUCUCCAAUAGAUUAUAACCGCUCGGAAUCACGAUACAGCGGGUGGACCUACUAGCCGUCAUCUCUACAUGAUCCGAGGAACUCCUUCAUCUGAUCGCAUCUUCAGCAGCAGCCUCAAGUCUCGCCCUUUCAACUACUACACUCUUUCCUGCUGUUGCGGCUGAUGAACCGCCUUCCUAAGUAUGGUCCGAGCCGGCCUCGGCAUAAUACCUCUUUUGAGGAGCAGACCUCUCCAAGCGGAUUGCAUCAGCCAUGAAAGAUGGCCUCAACCCACGACGAGGUAAACUCACCCUCUCGUAUCCAAUUGAUAUCCCUUUACCAGUGAUUAGCCGCUGCCUUUUUCUCUAUUGCUGCUUUUCAUCCUCAGAGGCCUCCUAUACGGGCCACAAAGGCGGCUCUGGAGGAGCCGCCUCAUUAAUAGAUGCAGCCUCAGUUUGCCUCGUACGCACGGCCUCGAGAACCACCCCAAGCGUCGUCGAAGGCGCUUCUUCGUAUACUGCCACACGCACCUCCACUAGCGCCACGUCCAACAUCGUUUUAGGCAACACCUCAGGCACCGCCUCUGGCACGCCCCUCUGCUGUGAGGUCGAAAGGGCUUUGUCUCUAGGUGAGCCUCCCACGAAUAUAUCCUCCCCAUCGGAGUCAGACUCUGCCCUAAACGGGCCAACUACGGUUUUCUUCUUCUCCUCCUUUUUAGAAGCGCCCCGACCUGCCAAAUGAGAAUACAUUGAAUAAAAGGAUCUUCAAGCCAACAACAAGGAAAAGAGAGAAGAACAGGAAAGAUUGUUACCAGUUGGGCCAUACAGUCUACGAAACGCAGCCCAGGUACAGCAUUUUUCCGCAUACGGUAUCAGCUCGGCUACCCAAGACCUAAUGUCGUCAACGAGAUAAGGCGGGCGAGCCGCCACUACAAAAGGAAGAAAAAUAAAUCGUAAUGAUUGAUCGGCCAAAACAAAAGAAUCACGAAAUCACGCACAAAGAUACUUACAUCCCGAAUUCCACGUCUCCGGAAACCCUUCAGGAUUGGAUACCGGGUGUCUCGUCUUGAUAUAAAAGUAUUUACGCCAGAAGUUACGGUUAGCUUUGUCGUCAAACUUCACCACAAAGCUCUUUUUACCACGGCUCCUCAAUUGGAGCAUGGUACCUCUCAUGUAGCUAGGGCUGAACAUCUGCAGCAGGUGAUGAAUAGAAACUAUGUUCCCGACCUUGCCCGCAAACGUGGUGAGAAUUUCGGCACACUUUCAGGGCAUACGGUGUGAGUUAAGCCGGGCACACAUGGUCGAUCGUCAAACUUCACCACAAAGCUCUUUUUACCACGGCUCCUCAAUUGGAGCAUGGUACCUCUCAUGUAGCUAGGGCUGAACAUGUGCAGUAGGCGAUGAACAGAAACUACGUUCCCGGCCUCGCACAAGCGUUGGGAGAAUUUGGCACACCUUCAGGGCAUAAGUUGUAAGGUGAGUCGGGCCCACGUGGUAGAAGUGACAAAGCUCCUUCGCUAGAGGGUUAAGCGAAAAGUUGUAUCCAAUCCUAAGUGCAUAUGCGUAGAACGUUCAGAACCAAGGCCUAUGCACAUUGGCAUAGUCCACCCAUGCCGGAGCCAUUUCAACAUGGUCGGGGAUGUUGUACGUAGUUCUGAGGGCGUCUCUGUGAGACUGCAAUAACUCACUGGGUUCCCAAGGAAGAGAGGGCAUUUCGAGUUGAAGUCAUUUCGAACACUCAGGUUUUUCGGAAGGAUAUUAUCCACCGUUAGCAGAACGAGGGUUUUCUCCACUUCUUCCCCCUCACCAUCCAAGGAAGGCGGAGCCCUAGAAGGGGAUUAUCCUUAGUCUUUUUGUUGUCUUGACGACACUUCGCCAUGGUAUAAUUCAUGAAUAAAGGUGUCAACGACAAGAGGUACAAUACCCUGAAAUGGUAGUUCUCAAAUGAAUCAGCAAUUACCAGAAAGAAAUAAAGAGACACUCUCAAAGGGUUCGAAAUAUGAAUCACAUUGAACCACUCCUCUAUUUAUAGGGAUAAGUUAUGCGGAAAUCGAAAAGGAACAAUUCUAAUACUAGCACGGGAAACCAAAACGUCAGGUCAUGCUCUGAAUCGUCUCGGGAACAAAUAUAAUGAUGCCGCACGUGACCAGUGACGUCAUUCUAGAAAAGGGGUCGUAUGUCAACGACUCAACAAUAUUACACAUGCUCAUGUCCUUUGAAAGAGGCGUCUAUGGGUGCGGCCAAAUUUUUCGUAAAAGCGAAGUAUGCAUGUCCGUCAAUUGAAGGCGGUCGUCCAGCACGUCUCCAACGGACGGAGGGAUUAACUGUAUAGGGUAAAUUUUGGCUCUCAACGUCCCCACACCGAGCGGGCACGUCCAUUAUGAUAAAUUCGACCCGAGUGAGGGCACGGCCCAGUUGAUAAAGUAAAGGAGACAUCGUUUAGGGUCUUGCUUCUUUAGUACGAAGAAGCCACCAACUUUUUAUUUUUUUUUUUGAUUAUUUCGAGAAAGGUCUCCUACUAUAUAAAGGAGACCUUCACCUUGUAAUAGGAUAUGUGUUAUUCUGAAUAAUACAACUCUUUUACUCUCUCUCUCUCUCUCUCUCUCUCUCUCUAUCUCUAACAUGCAUUCUCUCUCAUUCUAAAUUUCUUACUAGUUCUUCACAUUUUCAGAUCUACAACGAUCUUAACAUAAUAAUCAUCUCUAAGACUCAUUAUAUUUGAUUACGAUUUCCCCUUAUCCAUUUUAGAUUGUUUUUAAGCUUAUAAACUGUGAAUAUAACUUUUGAGCCAAACAGGUAGGAAAUGUAAUUAGUUUAUAGGUAAGAAAAUAAAUAGGUAGACAAGGAUAAAUAAUUUUAUUUUUAUGGGUAACUAUAUCAAAACCCAAUUAAUUAUAUACCAUUGUACAAACACACACUUUCUUGGCAUAUAUAUAAAAGAAAUUCUCUGCAGAAUGAAUAAGAAAUGACAAAUACCUGUGAAUCUGGAUUUUGUUCGUCAAGUGACUAUUUUACCUAAAAAGAAUUAGUUAAACAUUUCACCGCUAUAUGCCACUACAUAAACAUAAAACAACAACUACUACCCAAUAUAGUCCCACAACAUGGGGUCUGGGGAGGGUAAUAUGUAGACGGGCCUUACCCCUAUCCGAAAGGGCAGAGAGGUUAUUUCCAAUCGACCCUCGGCUCAUUGAAGGAAAAGAAAAACAAAAACAAAAAGAAAACAGCAUUUGUAACUCCAGCAGAAAUAGUAUAAAUAAUUAUCUAAACAUAAGAACCAUAAAUAAAUCGCAUACAAUAAUAUCAAACAAUAACUACCAUAAAUAACUACCCUAAGGGAGACACAAUCCAAUACACGAAUCAUUUAUGGAUAGCCCUGCCAAGCCUCACCCAACCCCGAGUGAGGAGUACGAAAAACUCUAGGAGCCCCUAUCCUACAGUCCUGAUACUAGACCUCCAGACUUUCCUAUCAAGAGUCAUGUCCUCAGAAACUCACAUUCUAACCAUGUCAUGACUAAUCACCUCUCCCCACUACUUAAACAAAAAUAUACAAAUAAAUUACGCCCGUGCUUAUUCAAUUUUUCCAUCUUUAAUUCCAAUAUUCACUAUACUGUAUACGCAGGAACGGAUAUAUGUAAUGACAUGAACUCAGUAGUUUAUUAUCCAAAUUAUGUAUAUAUAUUAAGAAAUUUAUUAAAUAUUUAAUUGUGAACUUAAUUAUUAUUGUAUAUUAAUUUAAAAUUAUUGUGAAAACUAUGAAUAAACUUCAAAUUUUUGAUCUACUUACGAAGGUAGACGCUCUAUCUCUCUAUAUCACAUAAAUGAAUCUCCAAAAGUCAAAAUCUGCAAAAAUUAUAAGGCUUCGUGCAUGUUUAUAUUGGUUCUCGGCUCUGGUUUAAAAGGAAGAAUUGAGAUUCACCCGGGACUCGUCCUGGGAUGGGACACUCGUAAAACGUCUCUGGGUUUAUGUAUGAGGCUUAGUUUCGUGAUACUUACGCAUCGGCCUUCGGGGCUUACGCCCCGGACAAGACCAACGCCUUACAUACUGGGUUCGCAUGAUAGAACUUUAUGCUAUUGUAUGUAACUAACCUUAUAAAUCCUCAAAAUUUCUUAAUAAAUCGUUAACUAUUCAAAAUUACUUUUUUCUUCAUCGUAAAUUAUCAAGUUGAGAAUAUUUUACUGUCAUAAUAAAAAUAAAAUUUAUUGCACAUUAUCCACUAAGAUUGCUAUGAUAGAAAAUUUUAAAUAAAGCUUUCAUUUAAAAAUAUUUAUUUAUUAACCUUUGUUAUAUUUUUAUUAUAUUAGUCCAUAAUUUUUUUAAAUUAUUUUCCUAAAUAUUAUUUUUCAUAUUUACGAAAUGCAAUACUUAUUAAUUUUAUAGCUUUGUAUUAGCUAGUAACUAUUUAUAAAUAAACAGUUAUCAUGGUAUAGUAUGGUAAAUUAUGUGUCACUUUAUUAACUUGUUGAAGCUUAAAAAUAAAUGAUGCUAGAGAAUCAUAUUUAAAUUUUGAAUAAUAUUUUUAUAUAAAUUCUCUUUCAAAUAGAAAGCGUAUUAAAUAAAAGGAGUGUUUAAAAAAUAUAUAAUGUCGAAAUUAUUUUAAUAUUCAUUACUACUUAAGAGACACAUAUAAGAUUUGGUAUUUGCGUCGUAAGGAUGUUGCAGCUAAUUUAUAUAUUUUGAUAUAUGUCAUACUUUUUGUAUUAUUCAUAGUUAAAUUAUAAUUUAUGAAUAUUUUAAAUAGAUUAUAUGUUAUAGUUAUGUGAUUUUAAUAUAAUUUUAUAAUUAUUUUUAUUUUAUACUAUCUUAAAAUUUUUAAAAUUAAUAAAAUUUAAAAAUUCAUGAAACUUACGCUCCAAUGAUUUUAAUGUAAUUUUUAUAAUUAUUUUUAAUUUAUACUAUUUUAAAAUUUUUGAAAUUAAUAAAAUUUAAAGAUCCGUGGGACUUACGCCUCCCUUCGUGGGAGGUAAAAUGCCUCGUCCUAUCCUCGGCUUUUAAAACACUGGUUCUCGGAAGUAGUUCAACACUUGCUCCUUCCUUUCGAAGUUCAUAUUCUCUUCUUUUAUUCUUUUUCUUUUGGAGGCAGAAAACCUGAUGUCCUGGUAAAAACACAUUGGAUUGUGUAUUUUUCUUUUUUGGGUUUGUAGAAAGGCUAUCGUAAUUAGCCAUUUAGAUUUGAAAACUUUUUAUUUUAACUAAAACCACAUAACUUUCUUUAUGAAAUAUUGGGAGUAAACAUACCAUUAAUUCUGGUCCAAUUUACGAAAAUUGACAUAUAUUGUAUUGGUUGUGCAAAAGAUCUACACGUGAAAUAUUAGACUGUUGACAUGGCCUGACACGUGGAAUAAUAAUAUAGCGACACAUGACAAUCUUAUUUGAUAGAAAGGAAAAGGCACGGAAAGAAAUACAUAUGAGAUGGUACCGGGUCUAACAGCUGACAAGGAAUGAAUAAAUAAUAAAGAAGAAGAAAAGAUACAUCAUACACGAUGAUCAACAAGGUGAUGAGCAAACUGCCGAGGACGCAUUAAAAUAACUAAUCACGGAACAUGUCAAUGAUACUCUCCAAGAUUUUGUCUGUGGAUUGUCAACUGCGCCACCAACUCCACCUCCAAACAACACUACAACUAUAGAAAAACCACGCUCGGGACUUGCUAAUUCGGGAAGCGGAGGAACUCCCAAUGAAUCUCGAGAUGGAUGGUCAUGUACACCAAAUAAUUCUGAUUUAUAAAGUUUACUAAUAACUUUGCAGAAGUAGCUCAAGGAGCAGAACGAUCGCAUAGAACAAAUACCUGGUGUGCCACCCAUGAUUAAAGGAGUGGAUAUUGACAAAUAUUCACAACAGCCCUGGAAGCCAAGUGCAACUCCCUUGCGGAUUCUAAAAAGGUUUAAAAUACUCGAUAUUCAAAGCAUGAUGGAAUGACCGACCCACAAGAUAAUGUAACAAUAUUUAAAAUUGGCGUUAAAAGCAAUGAUUUAACCAAGCAAGAAAUUGAGUCAGUUCUUGUCAAAAAAUUUGGCGAAACACUUACGAAAGGAGCACUAACAUAGCAUUCUCUUUUACCAGAAAAUUCUCUUGAUUUUUUGCUAAGCUUGCAAAUUAAUUUAUAAAAUCACAUUCGGGAGCUCAAAAAGUUGAGAAGAUGAUGGAAGACAACUUCAAAAUAAAACAAGGAGAUACAUAGCUACUCAGGAAAUUUGUGGAUAGAUUUCAACGUAAAAGAAUGAUGUUACCGUACGUACCUGAUAAUUGGGUGGCCAUGGUGUUUUCAAGUAACUUAAAUGAGGAAAACUCAGAAGUCACGAGGAGACUCAAGGAAAACUUACGAGAAUUCCCUACUACAACUUGGAAUGAUGUGUACAACAUGUACAGUACGAAGCUGCGCAUAGAAGAGGACACUAUCACUCGGCCAAGGGGUGAUGAAAGAACGAGUUCGAGGCGAUCAGAAAUCGAAAAAGAUCUAGUAAAAACAAUUACAAACCUUACAUGGGACCAACAGGACGGGAUUCACGCUCUAAACAAGAAAAUCCAAGGUAUGGGUAUAGAUCAAGAGACAGAGACGCGAGUUCAUCCUCCAAGUUUGGGAAAGAGCGAGAUGCGGGGGAAAACCAUGUUAAUACAAAGGCAAAGAUUGGUAAUUAUAAUUUCAAUAUUAGCACUUCUGAGUUGGUAGUUGUUUUAAGAAGUAUGGGAAAUAAGGUGCGGUGGUCAAAAGAAAUGAGAUCGAACCCUAGCAGAAGAAAUCCAGAUUUCAGGUGCGAGUUUUUAACCACGGUCAUAAAACAACAUAUGGCAUAUUGCUACAAGGUGAAAUUGAGUAUUUGUUGAAAUAAGGUUAUUUAACUGAUUUGUUCAGUGAGAAAGGUACGCAAACGUAUAUGAAGAAUAGAUAAGAGCCUCCAAAACCCCAAUCACUUAAAAGGAUAGUUAAUGUGAUAAGCGGAGGUGAAGAGGUCAACGGUAUGACAUAUACGGCUGCAAAAAAGAUAUCAAAAGUCACGGUUACCCACAGAAAGAAACUUCGCCAAGUUUUGGAAGAAGACAACAUAACAUUUGAUAAUGCAAAUGCAGAUGGCAUGAUGAUUCCUCACAAUGAUGCAUUGGUAAUAUCUUUAGGUGUACAUGAUACUAAUGUGAAACGAGUAUUGGUUGAUCCAGGUAGCUCUGUAAAUAUCAUUAUUCUGAGGGUGGUAAAAGGGAUGCAAGUUGAUGACAAAAUGGUGCCCAAAGCACAUUAUCUGGAUUCGACAAUUCAAGUGUUGUAACAAAAGUGGAAAUAAUGCUUACCACGUUUGUGGAAGAGGUUGUCAAAGAUAUGAAAUUCCAAGUAAUAGAUAAAAACAUGGCGUAACUCCCAACGACCCCGCACAUUUUGGUUCAAAGAGACUUCAAGGGCGGAACUCCCCUCUCCUUACUAAGCGGACCCUGGUGUAGCAGCCAUAAUUGUGGUAAAACUAGGGGAUUGGAGCGGGAAUUUAAGCAAGGGCAUCAAAGUUUAAACGGUGAAGGAACUCAGGAAAGAAAAACUCUUUAGAUGAGGAUAACUACUCGAAAUAGUGGAAUCCCCAAAAGAAGGAAUACAACCAUAUAUGUGGAGAAAGCGGCAACUAUCUUCCUGCCUCAAUGGCCAAUUAAAAAUGUUGAAUAAACCAUUUUUUUCUCUGGGAAGACGUACCCCCGAAAUUACCCUAGUCGCUCAUAACCAAAUCAUGCAAUUAAUGCUGCCAUACGGUAUUUCGUGGAUCGAAAAUCCCCGCAUCGUUGCAAGCCUCGAGAUGGUACCCGACCUCGAGGGCCUCCACCAAGAAGGAGAUAUGAUUCAAGAAGCUAUUAAUUUCAGUACGCGCCUCGAGAUGGUACCCGAUAUCGAGGUCCUCCACCAAGAAGAAGAUAGGCUCCAAGAAGUCAUUGCUUUCAUUACGAGCCUCGAGAUGGUACCCGAUCUUGAGGACCUCCACCAAGAAGAAGAUAGGCUCCAAGAAGCCAUUAAUUUCAUUACUAGCCUCGAGAUGGUUCCUGAUUUUGAGGUAUUCCACCAAGAAGAAGAUAGGCUCCAAGAGGCCAUUGAUUUCAUUACAAGCCUCGAGAUGGUACCCGAUCUCGAGGACCUCCACCAAGAAGAAGAUAAGCUCCAAGAAGCCAUUAAUUUCAAUACGAGCCUCAAGAUGGUACUCGAUCUCGAGGACCAUUGCCAAAACGAAAGUUAAGCUCUAAAAAGAGCUGCUCAUAUCUAAGCCUAAUCUCGAGGUGGCAUCCUGCCUUGACGGUUUUUGCUAUUGCAAAUGCGGGUCAUUUACCCGAUUCCUUGGCCCUCAUGCUACUUGAGAUCUGGCCAGUUCGCACUUAAUAAUUACUGAUGAAGCCCCAUGUCUACAUUCACACUAAAUUCAAAUCAAGUUUCCCAGGCCACCAAAACUUAGGCUAAACCUCACUCGGGAACUGUUCAUAAAAGUCUCGGGAACUACCAACGGGAUCUAAAUGGAGCUAAGUUUGUUAUAAAAAUCGAGACCUCAUUCUCACUUGAUUCAAAGUUGCUGAUUUCGCAGCCUAAGCCUAUAAUGGGUUAAUCUGGGCUUCCUCCGAGGAACAGAAAAGUGUUUCAGGGAAAAUCAUAUUGGCCGAUUGAGAAGCGAGGGAAUACCUACGCCCUAAUCCGAUAUUCGGGCCAACUGGUAGAGUCGCAUGCUCAUAUUUUUUUUACAAACUCAUAUAAAGAAGGAAUUCAACAUAAAUCAAAGACAAACCGAAUAAAUAUCCUUGUAUCAAUGAGUCGUGAUUACAAAAGUCCACGAGGGAUCCUUACAUAUGGUUACAAAAGCCCACGAGGGGUCCUUUCAUAGAAACAAAGAAGCAAGAAAAUAAAGGAAUAAAAUCCACGGAUCUAAUCUAUUCUCGGGGGUACAUCCUCAGCGGCAAUAUCUUCAAGCAUCAUCUCCUCGAGAGCCUCAUCUCGAUCUUCCAAAACUGCAUCUUCAAGGGAGAAGAUGAAGAAAUGGAAAGUGAUGAAGAAGAAGCAGAAAAAGAUGAAGAAGUGGUUGGGUGAAAAAUCUAGCGAGUACGAAUCUCGAUUGCACUACUAUUGCAAAGCCAAUUCUUGAGACGUUACACCGGUGCGGGAUGCAACAAUUAGUGUACAGUACCACCUCACUCCACGAAAAGCAAAAGGAGUGGGGAAUCAGGAGAGAUCAGCAGAGGUUCAUAGUCCUCAUAACCUCUAAUGCGAGGAUAAUUUGAUAUUUCUCCCACGUCACCUCGGGUCAACAACAACAACAAUAAAAAAUCAGUACAAUCUCGCUCGCUAAAGGAGAGACCUGGAAAAAGGCCAUAGCGUGACUGAUGAGAACGUCGCCAUGUAACAUUAAGGCCAUGGGCCUUAAGCAUGGGAAAUAACAGUGGAUGAGGAUGAAGAGAAGAAAGGGGUGAAAGGUUGUUAAAGAGCAUUUAAAUGAAAAGCUAGUUCAAGAAGGCUUCCAUUUAUAGAACGGGUGGAAGCGUAAUCGACGGCAACAUUAAUGUCUUUAAAAGACGUAUCGACGGGCGCAAUCAAUAUGUUUUUGGGAACUGGACCACGGCGAUAUUAUCGCUUUGAAGAAUAUGAGUCGGCAGUGCAUUGAAUGAUUCUGAAAAGGAGAACCAACGGGACGCCUCAGUUAUCACAAAGGCUUACCUCAUAAGUAUGACAUUAUCGCGGGAAGCUCGAAGAGAUGGACAUCAAAGUCGUUUCUUAUCGUUCCACUCUAAGAAACGCGAGGACUAUCUGUAUACGGUAAAAUCGAAAGGUCCAAUUUUCCGUCUUACGAUGCCUCGUAAGGACUUAUUCAAAGGCGAGGCUAUGGUCGAUAUUCAAUCGACACCUGACUUCAGGGUAAUAUGGAUCGGCGAUUAUGAUGAAAAUGUGGGAAGUUCCUAACAAUUAGCAUAAAAAUAGAUCAUGAAUAUUUAGAACCACAAAAUUAAAUUUAAUUACAAUUACCAUUUUUACGGCAAACAGUACUUUUAAUACAAAGUAGUAGAAUUUUUAAUAUAAAAGGAAAGAAAAUUCUUUCGAUAUAUAAAUAGUAAUAAUUCACUUACUUAAAAAUGGGCAAACAAAUAGUUUUCCCAACCUUUAGCUUUCCACUUUUUAUUCCUUCACUAGGUAACGUGCCAAAUUUGUAUUUUCCUUUUCUUAAUUUAUUCAAGUCCAUCUUUUUUUCGCCAAUCUCUUCAUAUUUCAAAACCCCUAAAUAUUUUCUGUCUUUUUCUUUAAUAUUUUCAUUCAUCUUCUUUCUCCAAUAUUUCAUUACUCAUCUUCUUUUUCUAAAUUUGAUUAGUCGUUUAAUACGUAAUACUUUUAAGCUUCCAAUAGUUUAUACUUCUAUUGCUCUAUAAACUCUUAUAUAUAAAAAAUGAGUAAUGAAAUCGAUUAUAAAAAUAAUUGUUAAUAAUUUUAUGUCUCAAAAUGCUUAAAGAAUAGAACUCAAAAUAAAAACAACAUAUGCUUGAGCCGCCCCGACUUUAGGACUCGAUAAUAGCGAAAUUAUAAGACUCCGUAUCUUCACUUCCACCUUUGCUUCCUCUUUCGGAAUGGCUUUCGGCAUGGAAAUAUCAACAAUGGGUCAGGCCAUGCAGCUCCAUGCCCGGGUACUCAAGUCGGGACCCGAAAACCAAACCCAUGCCCAAAACCUCAGCAAGCUUUUCACUUUCUCAGCUCUUUCAUCUUCAGGUGACCUCACUUAUGCCCGCCACAUUCUCACCACUCUCCAAACCCCAAAUUCAUACUACUACAACACCAUGAUUCGUGCUUACUCGGACUCUACCGACCCAAACCGGUCUCUUAGCCUUUUCCUUUCAAUGCAUUGCCGUGAAGAACCCGUUGUACCUGGACCCGACAAGUUCACUUAUCCGUUUGUCCUUAAGGCUUGUUCGAAGUUGCGACAUGCCCAGCUCGGGAAACAGAUUCAUGGGCUGAUUUUAAAGUCGGGUUUAAUGUCGGAUCGCUAUGUGAACAAUGCACUUAUUCACAUGUACUCACCGACCCGACCCGGUCUAUUUGCCUUUUCCUUGCCAUGCACUGCCGUGAAGAAACCCUCAUACCUGGACCCGACAAGUUUACGUACCCGUUUGUCCUUAAGGCUUGUUCGAAGUUGCGAUAUGCCCAGCUCGGGAAACAGAUUCAUGGGUUGAUUUUAAAGUCGGGCUUAAUGUCGGAUCGUUAUGUGAAUAAUGCACUUAUUCAUAUGUACUCGGGUUGUGUUGAUUCGAGUCUUGCGUUGAAACUGUUUGAUGAAAUGUCUGACAGAGAUGUAGUUUCUUGGACCUCGAUGAUUGAUGGGUUUGUGGAUAAUGAUCGACCUAUUGAAGCUAUUGGGUUGUUUGAGCAAAUGAUGAAUAAUGGAGUGGACCCGAAUGAAGCGACUCUUGUUUCAAUACUUAGAGCUUGUGCUGACACUGGAGCAUUGAGUAUUGGGAAAAAAGUUCAUAACUUUGUUAAGGAACGGAAUCUUAGUACAAAGGCUAAUGUUGGUACUGCACUUAUUGACAUGUAUGCAAAAUGUGGGUGUAUAGAAAGUGCUAAGGAAGUAUUUAAGGAAACAAUGGAAAAGGAUGUUUAUGCUUGGACAGCAAUGGUAUCCAGUCUUGCAAGUCACGGUCUUUCAGGAGAGGCCAUGGAACAUUUUGAGCAGAUGAAGAGUUGUAAUGUAAAACCGGAUGAAAGAACGAUGACUGCCGUUUUAUCAGCUUGUAGGAAUGCUGGUUGGAUUGGUAAAGGAUUGUAUCAUUUAAGGAGUAUGAAGAAGUACAAGUUAAGACCGACAAUUCAGCAUUACGGAUGCAUAGUGGACACUUUUGUGCGUGCUGGCCAGUUAGAAGAGGCCGAACAGUUUAUAAGGAAGAUGCCAAUUGAUCCAGAUGUCGUGCUAUGGAGGACGUUGUUAUGGGGUUGUAAAAUUCAUGGAGAUGUUGAAAGGAGUGAACGACUAAUGAAGGACGACGAACUUUUGAAAAUGGAUUCUCGUGAUUGCGGGAGUUACGUACUUCUUGGGAAUGUCUAUGCAGCCUUGGGAAAUUGGAAGGAGAAAGCGAAGAUGAGAGAGUUUAUGAAUCAAAGAGGGCUAGUCAAGACACCAGGAUCCAGUAGGAUUGAGAUUGAUGGGUUGGUCCAUGAAUUUACAGCUGGAGAUUCUAGACACGUAGAAGCAGAAAAUAUUUAUGCAAAGUUGGAUGAAAUAGAGCAGAAUGCUAGAAGGGAAGGUUAUGAUCCCAAAAUCUCAGAGGUGUUACUUGAAAUAGACGAUGAUGAGAAAGCAUCUCAGCUUCUAAACCAUAGUGAGAAACUUGCAGUCUCGUUUGGACUUAUCAAAACAAAUCCAGGAACUGUCAUUCGGGUAGUGAAAAACCUAAGAUCUUGUGAGGACUGUCAUUCUUUCAUGAAACUAAUCUCGAAGUUAUACAAAAGAGAGAUCAUCAUUAGGGAUCGUAUCCGUUACCAUCACUUUAGGGGUGGUGAAUGUUCUUGCGGAGAUAGAUGGUGAUUGUAGUUGUCACUGAAAAACAAUAGUUUAAUUUUCACAUUCUUGAAGAACACGGCUGUUGACAUACCUGCUGCUUCGGCUCUAGAACUUUCUGUAACUGCUGAAUGUUGCAUCCACAUUUUGGCAUCAAUGACCUCAGUUAAAUCUCUCAAUCGCUUAUUUCACCAGUGCAACCAACAUAAAAAGAAUAUAGUGAGUAUAGAGCUGCCAAGGCAGUUACAAAGGAAACAGAGGUACAAGAAAGUCUAAUCACAAUUCUUAAGAAGUUAGAGACAAUAGACCCAAUGAGGCUCAGGCCUUCUUUGGACCCAGCAUAUAGUGGGAGCUUAGAGCACCGUGCUGCUGUUUAAUCUUUAAGAUUCUGUAUUCUGAAAUUCGAUAAAGAUAAUUAUCUUAUUUGUUUGUCUCCCCUAUUUGACUGUGCAUCGUUAUUACAUGCAACUUAGCACUGUUUUGGUCGCUAUCACUGUGGUGAGUGCUUGUUAAUGAAGAUCCAGUUUCUAAACUUGAGAAUCAUAGAUAUGUAAAGGUGGGUGCUCCAGUUUGUAAAAGCAGAGAUAUGUGGAACAAUGACUAAAUACUAUUUGGGGAGCUACCACAAAUGUCAACUUUUCGUUUUUAUUUUCACAUUGCUGAUACAUUAAAUUAACAGCCAUAUGCCUGCAAAGAUGACACUCUGCUUUUAUUAAUUGUCACAGGAGACAAGAUAACUUAAAAAUGGCCUUGAAGAUGAUAAAACUGGAGGCUCCAUUUCCAUUUAUCAGCAAUUUUACAUAUAAAUACAGCAUAAAGUUGAGAUUAAGGAUAUUAAUACUCUUUAAAUUAAAGCUCCCAAGAGGUUGGCCUGGUCGAAAGAGUUGGAGUAACAAUCAUGGAAAGCAAAGUCAACGAAAAUAGGUGAAUUCUUUUACUAUGUGCAAGUCUUAGUCGACAAAAUUAGGAUAUAAUGUUAGUGGUUUAGUGGCUGGCCCUGUAUUGUCAUCCGAUUGCAAUUCCUUUUAUUAUUUAUAUUGCUUUCAGUUACAAGCUUUCUUAUAGACUUUCAUCAGACAUAUCCUUAGUCAAAUGUUAGUCACUAGUUUAGUCGGGUCGAUCGAUUUAAAUAAAAGUUGUGAGAAUUUAUAUAGUCGACACCAACUUGUUUGAGAUUGAUGCAUAAUUAUUGUUGUUGUUGGUGGUGCUAAUAGGCUAUGAGGAAAUAUGGCGGGAUGGAUGGGAUUAAUUUUUAUAUCCUCAACUAGAGAUCUCGAGUUCGAAGUCAAGAAAUUUAAAAAUUCUAAUAGUGAAUACUUUGCUCUUAAAUGGGUACUAUACAAACGCGAAUCUGGAUUGAUCGGAUCACUGAGGUGCGGAUACCAUAUGGUUAUACAAAAAGAUUAACACACUUUUCUUCUUCUUCUUUUGGUAUAUAAAUGAUACUAUUAGUAUUUGACAUGCAUGCAUUCAAGUCUUUGUAUUUGAAGACUUAGCUAGCGUUUGGCCAUAGAUUCUAAAUUUAUUUUGAAAAUCUGAUCUGGGUGAAGUUUGGUUUAAAGAUGAAAAUAUAUUUGGACAUACGUUUUCAAAAUAUAUUCUCCAAUUUUAUUUUGAAAAAACAUGUAUAUAAUUCCCAAGUUUUGAGAUUUUAGAAUUUGAAAUUUUUGAUUUGGGAUUUGGCCAAAAUAUGAGCAACAUUUUUGGCCAAACAUGAGUUUUAAAAAUAAAUCUUAAAUUUAUUUUGACAAAAAUUAUGGUCAAACAGGCCUUAAUAUGAUCUUAUUAUGAUCUUUGUAUAAAUGUACCCGGAAUAAUAAAUUUAGCAAUAUUUUGGUAUGCAAAGUCUAAUAAGUCAAUGUGUAUUACCACUACCUCACUUUUUAAAAUCAUUAAUCAUGUAAUCAACUGAUUUCACGGUUUGAUGUCAUUUUCUCUUAUUUUGUGCUAAAUCAGAAUAGGUUUGCAGUCACGAACAAAUUUAAGACUUUAAUAACAUAUAGUACUAGAUUAAUCACUCGUGAAUCAAAAGUUAUUAAGUGGAUGAUCUCGUUUGUCAAAUUCAGUAGUCGUAUCAUUUUAGUAAUAUGUCAUUUUCAAUCAUUUCAACAAAUAUGAAUUUGGUGAGAAAUCAACAAAUGAAGAACCCUAGAUUAGGAUCAGAGAAGAGGGAGAAAAGAGGAGCUUCGUGAAAAUGUCUUUCAUUGAAGAAGAAAUGAAACAGUUGGUUUACAGUUAUACAGUGAAUUAUGUAUACGUAUAAAAUUUAUUGGAUCUAAUUCAUAUAAAAUUUGGAUUAAAUUCAAUUAGCUAAAUAAUUAAUUUGGGCUUUACAAGUUCAAUUAGCCUAUUUUAUUAUUUUUCGGCCCAAAAUCCAUUUCAUCUUAAGGUCUAGACUCAUGCCAUGUGACAUGGCAUAUCCAGUCAAACUCUAGCCCAAUAAGAUGACUCCACGUAUUAAAUGAUGUGGCAAUCCAAGUCAAAAAGCAAGAACCAACCACAAGUAGCCAAGUGGCUAAAAUGACACGGGCCAAUCAAAAUCAAGCAAGAGAGUCUUAUGUAACUUGACUGUCCAUCCUCUACAACUAUAAAUAGAUGGGUUACGUAACUCUCAAGGGACAUUGAGAGUUGGAGAAGAACACUCCGCAAUUGGUGAAGACAUCCACAAACAGAGAGAUCAAUCAUCAAGUGUUUAGUUCUUCGACAAAGGAGUGAUCAACAGAGUUCUUCCCGGAGAUCAACCCAUAACAACAAAGUGCUGCUAAACGUUCUUGGAGAUUAAAUACAUCACAAGGAGGUCCGCAUCAUCCUACAUUCGAGAAAGACGCUUCUCAAGCCCUCGAAUCACGGAGAAUUUUAGAGAGGAAAAUCAAGGAAUACAUAGAAUUAUAUUCACAAAUAUUUAUCAAUAAAAUCUCUUUUAAUUUACAUUAUUUUUGUUACAGUUUAUUUUUCUUUCUUACGAAAAUUUAUUGCAAAGACUAUCGGUGGGACUUUGCAUGAUUUGAUUAAUAUCUAUUCUAAGUCUAAGACGAUGGUUGUAGAAUCAGAGUUUGCAUACCAUGCUUUUUAGCUUUUGACUGGGAUUUCUCAUGUUUAUUGUAAUGGUUUUAAUAAAAAUAUUUUAUCUAUUUACUACCGAAAUGCCCGGUAAUCCCGCCAUUUUAGCUACUAAAUUUAAUUUUUAUAGUAUGACCACUUGUUUUGUUCAAACAUUCAUGGAUAUGAUUACUACAGUAUCUAUAGUACAUGCAGGAACGAACAAAAACUAAGCAAAUUUCUAGUAAAAACUAAUAGUACUCACAAUUAUUUAUCAAUAAAUCUCUUUUUCUUACUAUUAUUUUUGUUGCAGUUUGUUUUUCAUCUCACGAAAAUUUGUUGUGAACAAAUUUUGGCACGCCCAGUGGGGCCAAUUCUGCCCUUCAUAUCUCUUUCUUGCAAGUUGAAAACUACAAGCUUCAGAUAUACUGCUACAAUGGCCUUCCGCAAGUUUGAUGUUCCAUGCAAAGAUGCUACUAUUGCCGCAUCCGCUGAGCUCAGUCAUGUUGGACCAAUCACUCGAAGCAAGUUCAAGGCUAGAGGUUUAGAUGGAUCCGAAUACUUCGCCUCCUUGGAGAAGGCAAAGAAGAGCAAAUCUCAUAUGAUGUUUGCAACUGCAAUCACUGGGGGCAACGCCCCAUUCUCGAUGUUUGACGAGCUUUCUCAAGCAGCUUCAAACCUUGGCGGAUUUGAAAAUUUGGUAGAUUGUUCAGUUUCAACGAAAGUCAACGCCUUGAUGACUGAUGCAAUUAGCGUGGAUGAAAAAUUUUCCAUGAUAGAAUAGACCAUAGAGGUCUUGAAGAAAUCUAUUGAGGACAAAGACCUUCAAAUCGCUCAACUCAUGAACAAAUUUGAGACCUAUGUACCAGGAGAGUCAAGCCACGUCCCUCCUCGUUUACCUGUUUUCACCUCUCCAAUGACAGCUAUUGAGGAAUUAUUUGCCAAGUUCAACAUUCAAAAGAAAAAGCAAUUCACUUCAGUUGCGGCAUUAUCUGUUCAACAAUUGCAAGACAUGAUAACAAACACACUCAAAGCUCAAUAUGGUGGACCAUCGCAAAGUUCGUUGUACUACUCUAAGCCUUGUACUAAGAGGAUUGACUAUCUAACCAUGCCCACAAAUUAUUAACCACCAAAGCUACAUCAAUUUGAUGGUAAAGGGAACCCAAGGCAACAUAUUGCACACUUUGUCGAGACUUGUAGCAAUGGGGGAACACAUGGUGACCUUUUGGUAAAAUAAUUUGUUCAUUCUCUAAGAAGGGAACGUAUUUGACUGGUAUAUUGACUUGUAGCUCGAGUCCAUUGAUAGUUAGGAGCAACUUGAGAAGGAAUUCCUCAAUUACUUUUAAAGUACCCGAUAAAUUGUAAGCAUGAUAGAGUUGACAGGCACCAAGCAAAGGAAAGACGAGCCCGUGGUAGAUUACAUUAAUAGUUGGAGGGCGUUAAGUUUGUACUGCAAAGAUCGCCUUUCAGAGAUAUAUGCUGUGGAGAUGUGCAUUCAAGGAAUGCACUGAGACCUUUUGUACAUUCUACAAGGGAUCAAACCGCGAACUUUUGAAGAACUUGCAACACAAGUGCACGACAUGGAGUUAAGCAUCACAAAUCAUGGAAAGGCAUCUCCAUUUUCUGAUCAGAAGGAGUUCAAAAAAAAUGUUGCAUCAAAGCACCAAACCAAAGAAUCCAUGGCGGUGAAAGCAACUUCCGUGAAAGUCACAACUAAGCAAAAGGUGGAAGAGGAUAAGACCCCAAGUCAAUAUCCCAAAAAGGAGAAACACCGUCCCACCUUGAAGGAAUUGGAGGCUAAGGUUUAUCCAUUUCCAGAUUCAGAUGUACCCACAAUCCUUGAUGAACUUCUGGACAAGAAAGUCAUCGAGCUCCCUGAAUCAAAAAGUCCAGAGGAAAUUGGCAAUGUUGGCAAUCCGAAAUACUGCAAGUUUCAUCGCGUCACUAGCCACCCUACAGAGAAAUGCUUCAUCUUGAAGGAGAAAAUUAUGGCUCUUGUAAGUGAAUAAAAACCAUCAUAGACAUGGACGAAACAUUAGAAGCAAAUCAUGCAAGUAUCGCACUCAAGGAAAAGAAGUGUUCAAAGUUGCAUAACGUGCCAAGCACUGCCUUCUUACAAUUUGGAGGUUUCGAGCCCAUUGAAGUUACUCUUCCAAAGAAAACUCUUGAAGGUUCACUAAAGCUAUACAAUCACUCCAAAGACAAAGACGAUGAGGGUUGGAUUCUAGUCACUCACAAAAAGCGAAGACAUCAGCCAGUUUUGAGGCUAAAAUUCCUAAUUCAGGAGCGAUGAUGAGCAAUGCAGAUAGGCUACAACCACCAAGAAAUAUCAAAUAUUCUACUAGAAAGAAUAUUAACAGUGUCGUAUCGCCGAAGUUCCGAAAGCCCGUCAUAUUGCAUGAAUUCUUUCCUAAAAAAUUCUUUCAUGGAGCUCAUGUUAGUGCAACUAAUGUAGUUUCUAGUACUGACGAAACAAAGGGAAGCAACAAUGAGCUUGCUCCAACAAAAAUACAAGAUCAUCAUGAUAACAAAAAAUUUGUUACAUGUUUUGCAACAAUUUCCUUCACGGAUAGGGUCUAAACCACAUAAAACCUUUGUUUGUUGUAGGGUCCAUUCGGAACAACAUCUCAAUCACAUACUUGUUGAUAAUGGCUCGGCUGUCAACAUCAUGCCAAAGAAGGUGUUAAAAAUGCUUGGGAUAUCUAUCGAUGAGCUAUCCAAAAGUAACCUAACAAUCCAAGGUUUCAACCAAUAAGGACAACGAGCCAUAGGUAUGAUCCGUGUAGGAUUAUCCAUUGGUGAGAUGAAUUCAAACACCCUGAUUCACGUCAUAAAUGAUAACACGUCAUAUAACUUGUUGCUUGGAUGUCCUUCAAUUCAUGAGAAUGGGGUGGUAUCAUCUACCUUGCAUCAAUGUCAAAAGUACAUAAGAGAUGGUGAGAUAGUCAAAAUUGAUGCAGACAUCAAGUCGUUCACUUAGACGGAGUCAUACUUUGCAGAUGCAAAAUUCUACCUAGAUUCUUGUGAACUAAAAGUAGAGAAACCAUCAUCAGAUGACGAAGUUGGUGUCUGGUUAAAAGAGGAAAAUGAGGCUCAAUGGACUACUACUAAGCUGCCUAAGAACGGAACGGAAGAAGUCUCCAUUAAGCUAUCAUCAUCUGAAGGUGACAUACAGACAAAGACUGAGAAGCAUUUGGUUUUUUGCUAUGUUCCACGCGAGCGUCGAUAGAAAGGGCAACCUUUUCUAAAGGAAUGUACUCCAAAGAAGCAAAUAAGUCACAAAGAUAUCCAACAUUUGAAGGAGCAUAUGACUAUGCCAGUUUCAAAAAUCCCAUCCGUGACUGGUGAGUCUGCUAAAAGCAAUUCCCAAGCUGAUAAAAUAAAAGGGCACUAUGAUCCUAAGGCCUCCAUACUGCUUGAAAAGUCUGGUUAUGACUUCGCCAAUCCAUCACAAUUAGGAGAACUCAAAGACAAAGUCACUGAUGAAAAUAUACAUGGGCUCAAUGAGUCUCAAAUGAAGUUAAGAAAGCAAGGGCACUACGUCUCCACUCCAAAGUAUGGAUUGGGAUUUCGUGUGGCAGAGCCUCUUCAAAUUUCAUCUAAGAGAAUCAAAGAGAUAGCUUCAUCACAAAACACCUUGGUGGACAAGAUGAAGGAAGUUAAGGGCAAGAAAUUAAAAUAACAGACUUUAGUGUUCGAUCGCAUAGGAGGCUCAACCCCUCGAGUCUCACUGUUUGAAAGGUAAAGUCACAAAGAUGAGCAUGUAUCUUCCAAACAUCUAAAUGAAGUUUUCAAUACCUUAAGGACCUCUGUAUUUUGUUUCUUGGGAACUAUAAGGAAGUCACCAUCUAUAAAUAUACUAGCAAAACAUAAGGAUCAACUCCAUGAGGAGCGAGAUCAUUUUGAAGUUGUUGCUAACAAAGAAAUCUGUAGUGCUUUCCCAUCACGUAUGGAGAGGAAGUCUAUUUUGUCAAUAUCCACAGAUGGUCCACUGAAGGUGCAAAGGAGAACCAUUGUUUACACUUGCCAGGCUCGUAAAGAAGCAGAGAAAGAGAAAGAAGCCAUGCCGACUAUCCAAGGAAGUCAAACAGAAAAGUCAUACUUUGUGGAAACAUCCUACACAUAAUUGUGGAAGAUAGCCCAUGCCUUGACGUUGAUGAUGAAGUACAUGAGGCUCCCCCUCAACUAGAAGAUAGCGGACAAUCAAUGGUGGAUGAGCUUAAGGAACUCAAUUUAGGCACAUCGGAAGAUCCAUACCCUACCUUCAUUAUUGUGCUUCUUACGCCUAAAGAGGAGGAAAAAUUACUCCAAGUUCUUUGUGGAAACAUCCUAUCACAUAACUGUGGAAGAUAGCCCAUGCCUUGACAUUGAUGAUGAAGUACAUGAGGCUCCCCCUAAACUAGAAGAUGGCAGACAAUUAACAGUGGAUGAACAUAAGGAACUCAAUUUAGGCACUCCAGAAGAUCCAUGCCCCACCUUCAAUAGUGCGCUUCAUACGCCUAAAGAGGAGGAAGAAUACUCCAAGUUGCUGACCGAGUACAAAGAUGUCUUCGCUUCGUGAUAUAAAUAAAUGCCUGGUCUUAGUCCUAAAGUAGUUGUUCAUCAUUUAGGGAUCAAAAGUUGAGUACGCCCUAUGAAGCAAUCAUAACGAAUGUUUCGACCCGAGCUUGUAUCAAAAAUUGAAGUCGAAGUCAACAAGCUCAUCGAGGCGGGAUUUAUUCGAGAGGUGAAGUACCCAUCAUGUAUAUCGAAUAUUGUACCUAUCAAGAAGAAGAAUGGUCAAAUAUGUGUUUGUGUUAACUUUCGAGACAUAAACAAGGCAUGUCCUAAAGAUGACUUCCCGCUACCAAUUAUUGAAAUCAUGGUGGAUGCUACAAUAGGGCAUAAAGUUAUGUCAUUCAUGGAUGGGUCCUCGGGAUACAAUCAAAUCAGAAUGCCUCCAAAAGAUGAAGAGUGCAAUGCUUUCCAAACUCCAAAAGGGAUAUAUUGCUAAAAAGUGAUGCCCUUCGAUCUGAAGAAUGCUGGUGCAGCCUACCAACACGAGAUGCAAAACAUCUUUGAUGACGUGCUUCAUAAGAGGGUUGAAUGCUACGUCGAUGACUUAAUGGUGAAGACGAAGAGUAGGCGUUACCACCUUGAAGACCUUCGAAUUGUUUUUGAAAGGUUAUGAAAAUUCGACCUGAAGAUGAAUCCACUCAAGUGUGCAUUUGGAGUUACCUCAGGAAAGUUUCUAUGCUUCAUCGUGCGUCAUCGUGGAAUUGAAGUUGAUCCUACAAAGGUUGAUGUCAUUCAGAAAAUUCCCAAGCCAAAGAACUCGAGGGAGCUUCGAAGUCUCCAAGGAAACUUAGCAUUCAUCCGGAGGUUCAUCUCUAAUCUAGCCGGACGGUGUCAACCCUUCAAUCAUCUAUUGAGAAAGAAUAUCCCUUUUCAUCGGGAUCAGUCAUGUCAAAGUGCUUUUGAAAGCAUCAAAAUAUACUUGCUGAAUCCACCUAUUUUAGGGGUAGUGUCAACCCUUCAAUCAUCUAUUGAGUAAGGAUAUCCCUUUUCAUUGGGAUUAUUCAUGACAAAAUGCUUUUGAAAGCAUCAAAACAUACUUGCUGAAUCCACCCGUGUUAGGGGUGCCAAUGCUUGGGAAGCCGUUGAUACUUUACAUCACAGCAUAGGAACAUUCACUUGGAGCACUACUUGCUCAAGAGAAUGAGGAAGGAAAGGAACAAGCAUUGUACUACCUUAGUCGAACUCUAAUAGGAGCUGAGUUGAACUAUACGCCUAUUGAGAAAAUAUGCUUAGCGUUAGCAAUAAAGAAGCUAAGGCAUUAUUUUGAAGAAUACACCAUCAAACUCAUCUCUCGAGCAGAUCCCGUGAAGUUUGUGAUGACUCGAUCUGUUCUUUCUGGACGCCUAGCAAGAUGGUCCAUGUUGUUUAACCAAUAUGAGAUCACAUAUACACCUCAAGAAGCUGUGAAAGGAAAAGCACUAGCCAAUUUUCUAACUGAUCACCCUCUUUCGGCAGAAUAGGAGCUUUCAGAUGAGUUCCAGAUGAGGACGUUUUGUUCAUCGAAGAAUUGCCACCAUGGACAAUGUUCUUUGAUGGAUCUUCACGUCGUAAUGGUUCGGGGGCAGGUGUUGUGUUGAUCUCUCCAGAAAUACAAGUCUUGUCAUUCUCCUUUGUUUUAAGUGAAACAUGCUCCAACAAUGCUACAGAGUACCAAGCUUUGGUCGUCGGUCUCGAAAUUGCAUUACAAAUGUAGAUUCUUUAGUUGGAGAUCUAUGACGACUCUAAGCUGAUCAUCAACCAACUUUUGGGGAGUUAUGAGGUAAAGAAGGAAGAUCUAUUGUCAUACCAUGAAUAUGCUUAUGGUUUACUAGAAAAAUUUGAUCGAGCGUUCUUAAACCACGUCCCAAGAGAAGAAAAUCGCAAGGCUGAUGCUUUGGCUAACUUGGCAACGACGAUUGCACUUGGAGAGAAUGAUUAAACAAAGGUAUAUGUAUUUCAUCGAUGGGUUAUUCCUAGACUUCUGGAUCUUCAAGUCAACGAGAGCCAUCAUAUGCCUGUUCGAGUGAUUGAAGAAGAAUAUUGGAGGCAACCGCUGAUAGAGUACAUUGAACAUGGAAAGUUACCUCAAGAUCCACGAAAAAUAACAAACAUCAAGCAAAGAGCACCACGAUUCAUCUUUUAUAAGGGGACAUAGUUUCACCGCUCUUUUGAAGGACUAUUAUUACGAUGUCUUGACAAAGAAUAAGCCCGCCAAGCAAUGGAGGAAGCACAUGCUGGCUCAUGUGGAGCACACCAAUCUGGUCCUAAUCUCCAGUUUCGCAUCAAGAGGAUGGGCUACUACUAGGCGACGAUGGUGAAGGAUUGCAUAGGUCAUGCCAAAAGAUGUCCAGCUUGUCAAUUUCAUGCAAACUACAUCUACCAACCUCCAGAGCCUCUUCACCCAACUGUAGCUUCAUGGCCUUUUGAUGCAUGGGGACUCGAUGUUUUUUGGACCACUUCCAAAGUAAUCAAAGGGACAAAUGUACAUAUUGGCCGCUAUGGAUUACUUCUCUAAAUGGGCGGAAGCUGUUCCACUCAAGGAGGUGAAAAAGGAAACUGUUGUCGAUUUUAUCAAAUCAUAUAUAAUUUUUAGGUAUGGUAUACCAAUAUACAUAAUCACUGAUAAUGUAACGGCAUUUGACAAUAAGCUCGUAAAGAGUCUAUGCGAGAAGUUCAGUUUCAAACAACAUAAGUCUUCAAUGUAUAAUGCACCUGCCAACUGCGUCGCUAAAGCUUUCAACAAGACAAUUGUUAACCUUUUGAAGAAAUUUGUUUCAAAGAACAAGAUAGACUGGCAUGAGAGAAUUGGUAAAGCUUUGUGGGCAUACCGGACAAUAUUCAGAACUGCUACACAAGCAACUCCUUACUCUUUGGUAUAUGAUGUGGAAGCAGUCCUUCCAUUUGAGAAACAAAUUCCAUCACUAUGGAUAGAAAUCUAAGAAGGAUUCACUUCCGAAGAGAAUGCUCAACUUUUCCUAGCAGAGUUAGAGGCAUUGGAUGAGAAAAGAUUGGAAGCGCAACAAAAAUUGGCGGGCUAUCAAGCUCGACUAGCUAGAGCCUUCAAAAAGAAAGUGUGGCCACGAUCAUUCCAAGUGGGAGACUUAGUCCUAGUUGUUCGAUGACCCAUAAUCCUCAACAAACGCAUAGGUGACAAGUUUACCUCAAAAUGGGAUGGUCCAUAUGUUGUGAAGGAAGCCUAUUCAAAAGGCACAUACAAAAUUGUUGAUAAGGAUGAUCUCAAAGUUGGUCCGAUCAAUGGAAAAUUUUUGAAGCAGUACUUUCCAUGAAAAUCACCCACGCUCCUUGACUUAUGAGCCUAAACUGCAAUUCAUGCUGCUCCUUGAUGCAUGAGCUUAAAUUGCACAUUGCUACACUCCUGGCCCGCAUGAGUCUAAACUGUGUACAACAAAAAAAAAGAGUCUGCUAGGUUGAAAACCUCGAAAGAGGCGGCCUAGGCAAAAGGAAAGAAAAAAAAAGUCUGCUAGGUUGAAAACCUCGCGAGAGGCGGCCUAGGCAAAAAUUAGGACAUAAAGGCAAAAAAAAAACCAUCCCUCUUAACUAUGUUAUGACUUGAUCCUCUUCACUGAGGUACAUAGGCAGCUUAGAGUUUCAUUCUAACUUCAGUCGCAUGAGUUUUAAAAAAAUUAAAAUUUGGUGUCAUCGGAUCAUUACAUUAAUUCUUCCAAGUGUAGAGGCACAUAUCUAUGAGGAAAAAAGACAAUUUUCUUUGAAGUAUAAAUGAUGUUUUAUUGCUUCUAUAAUACAAAAGUUGAUAAAUAAAAAAAAAAGUAGAGACAAAAGGAAUUAGACGUUUUCCUAUUCAAAAGCUUAGUCAUGAAAAUAAUCGUAAACUAGGCUUUGUGGACAACUCGUCUUGAAUUCUUCAAGUCCAUACGAUGUCUCCACAUUUUAAUACUCUAUCCUCCAUGCCUCGUAUAUAAGAACUCACCUCUCUUGAAAAAAUCUUCAAUGACCACGGGAGCCGCCAUUGAUAAAUUGCGAUAUCGUCAACACAUCAAGUGCAAAAGUUGGUGAAGGGUGACUCUACAUCUUAUGUGACAUCUCAUACUGAUAUCUGGACUCAUCGAACUUCAUCGCAAGUCAGCAAAAGAAAUAAACAAAGAGAUAAGAUUCGUGAUGAUAGCCGAAUCCAUUACAAGACCGUAAAAUCAACUUCAAAAAUAUUUUUUAGGUUAACCAAGAAUGAGUGGAGUUCCAUCUUCAAGGAUACUAUAGUUAUCGACGUCCGAAUUUCACAGGAUCAAACUGUUGGUGAUGUCGAUGUUCCCAGUUCAAGAUACAAUUUUUCUAGCCAAAAGCACGCAAACCUGAAAGUUCCCUGCGGUCAGUUUGAUUUUCAAUAUUUUUUUUGUUUCUAGGACGCGAAGAGUUUCGAGAUGGAAUUUUUGUAUGUUGCAGCUCUAGGACUUUUCUUUCCAACAAAAUAAACGGAUUGUAAUUUCGAUACUCCUAGCUCAAGAUACAACUAUUUUUGCUGAAGGUACGCAAAUAUAAAAGUUCAUUGCAGUUAAGUCGACGUCUCAAAUUUUCUGUUGAUAGCCCCUAAGGAGUUCUGCCAUGAAAUUUAUGGUUCCUUCAGGUCUCUAAUUUUUCUUCUAACCGCACAAAACAGAUUGAUUCUGACACUUGUAGCUCAAGAUAUGACUUUUGUUGCCGGAACUACACGAAUCUGAAAGUUACUGCAGCUAGGUGGACUUUGGGAAUUUUAUAUUUCUAGAUCGAAAAGAGUUCUGCCAACUACUCAUAUGUAUUGCAGCUCUAUGAUUGUACUUUCAAAAGGAGCAAGAGGAUCACAAUUUGGAGUCUCCUAGCUCGAGAUAUGAAUUUUUCCACCAUAGCGCUCAAAGCUGAAAAGCAAUUUUGCGGACAGAUGGGUCAAGUUACUGCGGACAAUAUGCUAGGAAUUCUUCUAUGAUAUCUUGAAGACUUAAUUAUCUCUGAGUCUUCUUUCCAAUAGCGCCGACGUCUCACAAUUUGGAUACUCCUAUCUUGAGAUAUGCGCGUUCCAAUGAUAACAUAUAGUAUUGUUAAGCCGAAAUGACAGACUUGUGCAUCGCCUUCAAAAGUUCAUUAGUUUUGGAUAUAUCACUGUAGUGAAGUUUUGUAGAAUCAAGCGGACUGCAGUUUGGAUACUCCUAGGUCUAGUUACGGUUUAUUUUUUCAAUGCGAGCAUGGAAUGCUAUGAAGUCAAAACAGCGGAGACGCGCCAAGUGCUUGCUCGUCGAAGUUGGAAAAGCCUACUCCAAUUGUCUUGCUCGCCAGCCUGCAACAAUGCGAUAUAGUACAUGUCACACUCACCACUGAUGAAAUAUGGUCUCUCUAAGUCGCCAAGGGUAUGGAUUUGCUCGGCGAGGUUGAAAAGACACUUCAUGUGUCAUUAUCGCUGAGCCGCAACAAAGAGACUAGUGGUUUUCUUGCAAUUCAUCUUCCUGGGGAUAUUUAACGGGACGAGGUAAUGUACAAUUUCUUUUAGUAUUAACUGACUAUUUUUCCAAGUGGGUAGAAGCAGGUGCAUUCACCCAAAUAUGCGAGCAAGAAGUGAUCACAUUCAUGUGGAGGACAUUAUAUGUUGCUUUCGCAUUCCCAAAGAAUUCAGUUAUGACAACGGGUCCCAGUUCACUAGGAAAAUAGAUCGCCGAGUUCUUCGAAAAAUGGCACAUCAAAAAAUACUCUCCGCGUCAUAUCACCCCGUAGGAGACGGUUAGGUGGAGUCCUCCAACAAAUUAAUAUUGAAUAUUAUGAAAAAGAAGCUCGAGAAUGUUGAUGGACGAUGGUUAGAAUUGCUGCCGGAAGUGCUGCCGGAAGUGCUAUGGGUGUACAACAUAAUACCCAAAACAAGCACAUGAGAAACACUAUAUUCGCUAGUUUAUGGAACUGAUGCAGUAACAUAGGUCGAGGUCGGAGAACCAAAUCUGAGAUAUUCACACGAGAGCGGACCGAUUAUGACAAAAGUAGGACUAAAGAUAUCGAUGAGGUCGGUAAGCGAAGAGAUAUGGCUUACAUAAGGAUGGUCGCUCAAAAACAACAAGCGGAGUGAUUUUUAUAUAAAAAAGCCAAGGUCAAUCCACUCAAAGUAGGGGAUCGUACAAAGCCAGAAGACAGGCAAGUAAGGAACCACGAGAAGGCAAACUAGGGACUAAACAGCAGCAAACAAAGUGUUAUUCCAACUAGAAACAAUGGAGAGGAAGUUAUUGCCGAACAACUAGAAUGUCACUCAACUCAAAAACUUUAACUUCUAUGAAAAAAAAUGUUUUCCAGGUCGUACUCUUUUUUCAUCACCUGAGUUUUGUCCCAAAUGAGGUUUCUCAGGAGGUUUUUAACGAGGCGACAUCUCGAAGCUUAAGGCUCGAGUGAGAUAGAUUGUUGUCACGCCCCAAUCAGAGGGGCAUGGCCGGCACUCAACCGGGUAUCCCCAGUCGAGUAGACCUGGGUGCCUUUCCUAUUUCACUCGCGUUCCCCCACUUAAUUCUUUGUUAAUUAACCAAAAGAUGCCAAAUUUGCAAUUGAAAAAACAUAUGAUUUCUCUUUUAUAAACACACAUUAUGAUUAACAGGGGACAUCCUUUACAAAGCAUACAUUAUGAUUAAUGGGGAAUGUGGUGAACAAUUUUACAUCGCCCAAAACAUACACCUUUAUACAUAAGUUCUAACCCACAUAACACUGUCUACGGAGUCUCUAAGAGAAGAAUAAUGCAAAACUUUGCUGGCGACAAGGCCCCAGCUAUACCUUUACAAAAGGACACAAGACUCCAAAAUACAACAACAUGGGUGGCAUUAGCCACACAAGGCCCCGAAAGGAAAGGGGCUCAAUGGGGAAUGUGGUGAACAAUUUUACAUCGCCCAAAACAUACACCUUUAUACAUAAGUUCUAACCCACAUAACACUGUCUACGGAGUCUCUAAGAGAAGAAUAAUGCAAAACUUUGCUGGCGACAAGGCCCCAGCUAUACCUUUACAAAAGGACACAAGACUCCAAAAUACAACAACAUGGGUGGCAUGAGCCACAGAAGGCUCCGGAAGGAAAAGGGGCUCACCAAACACGAAUACCGCCUAUAGAGAGGAGGAUGAGCUACGAACGGUGGACUGGAAUGCCUGCCAAGAAUCCACCUACAAUCAUAACACCAAUGUAGCGCCCCCCACAAAAGGGACGUCAGUACAUUUGAAUUGCACUGGCAUGUAUGAACAAACUCUGUCCCAAGUAAACUCAAGCCAAAUUAUAUGUACAAGUAUAGAACCGAACAACAAUAGUACAAGUACAACCAUGAGGAAACAACCAACAUUUCGCAACAAAUGAUUCAAAUAGUCAUACAAAGGGGCAAUCAGUGCCCCACAGGUUACAAACUUUCCUGUUAUUUGAACAACAAUGGUACAAGUACAACCAUGGAGCAACAACAAAAUAUUUCACAACAAUGGUUCAAGUAGUCAAACAAAGGGGCAAUCAGUGCCCCACAUGUCACAAACUCUCAUGUUGUCUCCUUCCACAUUUCCACAUUUAUCAUUUCAUGAUUCAUAUUCAUAUCAAUAAUGAUAUUGGAUCAUAUUUUCCACCCUUAUUGCCUCGUCUACCUUUAUUACCUCGGCCACCCUUAUCACCCCAAACCACACCUUAUUUCACCGUGUUACGGCGCACAACCCGACCCGGUCUGAUAGUUUUCAAUUCACAAUAACAAACAUCACAACAACAACAAAUACAAGAAAUCAACUAUGGCACAUUGUUAAAAUAGAUCCACAACAAGGAUAANNNNNNNNNNNNNNNNNNNNNNNNNNNNNNNNNNNNNNNNNNNNNNNNNNNNNNNNNNNNNNNNNNNNUAAAAUAGAUCCACAACAAGGAUAAUGAAAUCCCACAACUAGCAACAACAAUUUCCUCAUGUUCAUCAAAUUGGUACACAAUUUGGAUUAUCACAACAGCUGUUCACAACUAAUCACACAUGAUGUUCCACAUUAUUUCCAUUUCCAUUGUUCCACAUUAUUUCCAUUUCCUCUGUUCCACAUUAUUUCCAUUUCCAUUGUUCCACAUUAUUUCCAUUUCCAUUUUCAUUCCACAACUGGUAUCACAACAUGGUUGGAUCGGGACAAAGACAUGACGUUUAGUGGGUAGAUUUUGAGCAAGAUGGGCUGGCGGCAACGCAAAACUGAGGGAAAAAGUUCUUCCAUUGGAGGCACUCAUCGGAACUGUUGAUAGUGAUCAAUUUUGACUAUUGUGACUCGUCUCGCCUAACUUGAGGCAGAGAUGAACAGACUAAGCCAAGAGUGAACAGAUCUGAAAGCGAAAAAUGUAUUGCUGCAUUGUGAUGUUGGCAAUGAUGAAGCACAGUGUGGGGCAGAUCGUACCAAGGUCAAAAUUCCAGAGCCAAAGGAGUUUAAUGGUGCAAUGAGUGUCAAGAAACUUGAAAUUUUUUCUUGGGAUAUGGAGCAGUACUUUUAGGGCGCCCAUGUGUCAUAUGAAGACAGGAUCACCAUUACAACUAUGUACUCGGUGGACGAUACAAAACUUUAGUGGCGGACGCGCAUGGCAGAUGAUGUAUGUGCUGGUAGGCCAAAAAUUAACUCUUGGCAAUGGCUGAAAAAAUAGUUGAAGGGUCAAUUCUUUCCAAGCAAUGCAGGCUGGAUUGCUAGAGAUCAUUUCAAGAAGUUGAAACAAACUGGAACAGUCAGGGAAUAUGUCAAAGAUUUCAGUUCUUUGAUUCUAGAUAUAAGGAACAUAUAUGAGGAAGAUAAGCUGAACAAUUUCCUUUACGGAUUGCAGUCGUGGGCGCAGAUGGAACUCCGAAGGCAGAAUGUGAAAGACCUUCCUAGUGCCAUCAAUGUUGCGGGUGCGUUGGGUGAUUUUCGGCUAGGACAAGAUGGUUCUGAUUUCAUUACUACUCAAAGCCCAAAAAUGGGAACAAGGACGAGGCAAAAGAGUGGAGAAAAAACGAAAAUGAUAAAGGUAAUGUUGUUGAGGGCAGUGACAGUGGAAAGGAAAAGUAAUGUGCUGGACCUUCGACAAACAAGGGACAAAACAACAAGUUGGAUGGCUAUUUUAUUAGCAAAGGACCACCCAUGUCGAGGGGCUGUCCAAAACUUCAAUGGCUUAUAACUUUGUUUGUUGAAGAAAAAUGUAAAGAUGAGCCGAACAGGGAAGAACAUGAGCAACAAGUGGCAUACUUAGGGCCUAUGGUGAUGCUAAAAAUGCGAAAACUGCUUCAUGGAGGACAACGAAUUCUUCGCAUGUGGGUGGUUUGUUAGCCCCUUGACAAAGUUCCUCGGCAGGUAUGGGUUAUGGCAAGGAUUUUCAUGAUGUCAUUGGCACACAACCUGAAAAAUGGGACAACAUCAUGACGGGUAGCUCGGCAUGACUAUGCGGGAUUGAUAAAUGCACCUUGAACGAAGGCAAAGCACAUUUCACUUGGACGUUCCGGUUGGCAUAACAAUGGCAAAGCAAAGCCAUGUCAAAGUAGGGGCAAAAUAUGGCAAAACAAGGUAAGGCAAUGCGGGACAAGCAAUGACAAUUGAUGUAUACAAAUUUGAUCAAGUCGAGGGCAAAUUGACAUAAGCGAGCAACUGUGGCAAUGGGCGUAUGCUGCUAAGUCAAUGGGCGGCAAGCUAUGGCCAUGACAUUGGGGCGGAGUAGUAUUAAAGGGAAAGGAUGGGCGCAAUUCUAGCCUAGGGCGAGCAGCAGUUUGGCAAAACAGGCACAUGCAGUGCACAAACAAUAGUUACAAAAUGUGUGCUGGGAACAUGACAAGCAGUUGACGGUUACAACCACAUCCAAAACAUGGCUAAAGUGUUGGAACGUUUUUAUAUCAAGUCUUAACAUAUUUGCCCAUUAGUUGGGACUUGUCAACUGAUUGUCUUAUAAGAUGCCAAGUGUAAUUGGGCAGCCUGCACGGUAAAUAAAUGCAUAGGCUGUUCCAAAUGGGCAGAACUUAGUCUUGUGGCAUAUGUGUUAGCCAAAUUUUACCUAAUUAAUUCCUAAGUGUGGGAAAUUCAUUUUUGGGGCAGGGAACUAGGGAGUUUUUGCUUUAGACAUAGGGUUGGCUUAUUGUGCUCUUGUAUUCACGUAUUAAUACGAGUUGGAAAGAAAUUCCUGUAAAUUUGUGUAUGCCUUUACUUAUUUUAUUUGCUGCCUAAAUCAUUCUAUGUCCAAACAUCCCUAAAAUAAAUCUAAGUGUUGGAACUAAGGCUGGGAUUACUGCCGCUCGGAAGUGAACCUCGGGCAGAAUUCGAGUGACAUAAUCACCUCUGUGACAUUAGUUCACACGUGUAAACACAUGAUAUUUCAAGGGAUGAGUCAAACAUAAAAUCAUACAAGAGGAAGUUGUCUCGAAAGCUCUGUAAUCAUUAAGAGAUAUAAUACAAUAAAAACAAAAAUUCAUACGGAUGAUAUAAGCUAGUUGAGUUUAAGCAAGUAUUUGAACAUAAAUUUGAUUGAAACUUGAAAAAAGAAUUUUUUAAGUUGUGUUGAAAAAUAAUUUUUGGACCUUGAAGUUGUAUUUGGACAUGCAUUUUAUUUAAAGAAAAAUUGAAAUUUUAUGAGUGGAAGAAAAGUUUUCACCCAAAAACGUUCAUAAACUAGUUUUUGGGAAUUUAAAAAUUUCUGAAAUAUUUUUCCCAAAAUAAUAAUAUUUUCAAAAAAAAUUCAAAAAAAUAAAGCCAGCAUGUAUGGUCAAACGGGAGCUUCUUAGCAUGUUGGUACACUAUCAUCAGGGCCAGUGCUUAUUAGAAUCUAUUUAAUCAUGUUAAAAAUUUGUAUGUUAGUCCAGACAGAUGUUUAUUUUUGUAAAAGUUAUAGCCUUUUAUUAUUUGAUGAAUUGGCGUUGAGAUAAGGACAACGAGGAAUACGGCACAAUUCAUCUCCAGCAUUAACAUACAAACGACAUCGUACCUCUUCUUCUAACGUAGACGUAACAGUACAACCACACAAAUAUUCAUAGGUUGACAACUUUUCUAAUACUAAACAAAACAAUGUUCCUCAACAUUUACACGAACUAACAAAAGGAAUCAAAUGAAUAAUCUCACACGAGUUGUCUCCUGUUAUAUUAUACAAUUUUUUAGAAUACGUUAUAUGAGUUCAAUUGAAUUUAUUAUUUUCGACUCGAAUUAUGUAUGGACAGUAUUCAAUUAUGGAUAAUAUAUGGCAAAGUAUUGUUGACCAAUUCAAGCACAAACAUCACUUUCAUUCAUCAACGGCUAUUUGGUAUAUUAGUAUGGCAUGAUGCAGCUGGUAUAUAUUUUCUUCUUCUUGUAUCCAAAAACAGAAAGUUCCUUUCAUUUAUGGGGUCUACUGAUGAUGGAGCUUUGCAUUACCAUAUCCAGCUAGCAGAACAAUCCCCCCCUCCCCAACCCCCCAACCAAAUCCCUCACCCUAAAGGCGCAUACACCUUGCUCCAAGCCGUGUCACUUAAUACUGCUUUGCCGAAUAUUUUCAAUAAAUAUAUAUAUAGUAGAUAAUGAACAAAAUAAAAAGUAAUUAUAUAUAAAUAUGACAAAUGGCAUUGUUUGUUAGUAACUUGUUAACAAGAGGGGUUGAUUUGAUGGUAAGCAAUCCCACUUCCAACUGAAAGGUUGUAAGUUCGAAUCUCUCAAGAGUAAGGUGAGAAGUUCUUGAAGGGAAGAAUGUCGGUGAUUUAUUUGGAAACAACCUCUCUAUCUCAAGGUAGAGGUAAUGUCUGAGUAUACACUACCCUCCCCAAACCCUACUAAAUGGAAUUAUACUUUAUUGUUAUUGUUAGUGAGUUGUUCAUAUUUUACACUAUUGAUAGUUUGAUACUGCUUACGAAAAUAUUCACAUAUGCUACUACCUCACUCCACGAAAAUCUUACUUUGUACUUGCCAAGUUUUAAUUGGAAUCCUCUGUUGUACAACGUGAAUAUAGUCUUUUAAUGGAUUAUGCUACUAUUUUCGCAAGCCAACUUUGUUUCUAUUAUUUUUUGUUUUGUUUUUCCCCUUAUAUUUUUUUAUAAUCAAGAAAUCUUUAAGGACUAGUAACAUAGGAUGUGAAACUCUGUGAAUGAUCGGACUUAUUUUUUAUUUAAGUACGAAAUAAUUAUUUAUAACAAAGUCUGAACAGAUAAUGCGCUUAACCCACACUUCACAAAUUACGUUUUUUUUUCAACCAGCUCAGAUUAAGAAUUGAUAUGUAAGACAUCAUUUUCAAUAUGAUAUUUCUUCAAUCUUAAUUCUUACUUUUGAACUAGCUAAUUUGAAAAUGUAGUUAACUAUUUUUUGGGUUUAGUUCUUUUUAUUUAAAAAAAUUGAAACUUCACAUCAACAUAAAAAGAAUUAAAAUUGUAUAACUUGAACUCUACAUAAUCCUAUCAGAUCACAGAAAUAUUUGUUUUUUAAUGAGCUUUAUAGUUAAACCGUAUAGAAAUAAUAAUGAAAAUAAAUUAGAUGUGCAAAACUGCAUGAAAAUAUAAUUACAUAAAUUAUUCUCAUUUAACCUUAAUGAAGAAUAAUUUCAAAAUUAUCUCAGUUACUCUCAACAAAAGAAACAUGACAAUAACUUAGAUGAAAGAAUAGUUUCAAAAUUAUCUCAGUUACUCUCAACAAGGGAAACGUGACAAUUAUUUAAUGGAGAGACUACUUAUUUCUUUUUUCCCUAUUUUUAGUUUGCAAUUUUUGUUUUUUGGUCCUUUUCUUGAUUUGGUUUACUUUUGCAAAGACCCGUGCCUUCAUUUAAUAUGAUCCAGUCUAUCUUCGACUAUAAAUGGCUUAGCUAUUAAUUACUAAUAAAUCACCGAAAAAUGGAAAGCAAGUUAGUAAUUAGUUUUUUUUAAAAUUAAUUACUAUAAUUAUAAGAACACGUGAACCAUUAAAUGCUAGUAUCAAAUAGUUUCCAAGAUAUAUUCCAAUAUCUGCUUUAUAGUAAUUGUCUAAUUGCCUUGAUUAAAGGAGACUAGCGCCAUUACGGUUAAUUCCAAUAAAUAAUUCAAAUAAAAAAUAUUUCUUUCAUUAAAGCAAAAAAAAGAAAAAGCAUUGCAGAUGUAAGAUUGUUCCUAUACAAUCCCCGAAAUUGCUCCAUUGACUUAGUUGUUUGGAUAAUUCAUUGUUAUUAGUAAAUAAAUUUCUUUAAGAAUUUUAGAGAAUUAAAAAGGCAGCUCGCAGAGGCGGAUCCAAAAUUUAAGUUUAUGGGUUUCUACGACUUUGAAUUAAUAUAUUAUAAUAAACGGACUAAAGAAUUAGAUUCCCAACUAAAUAUUCUUAUACAUUGAAUGAUUUUUCAAUACAAAUACGGAAUUUAGCCAAAAGCUACUGGAUUCCCGGGAACCCAUACUUACACCUUUAGAUGCGCCCCUGACAGCCUGAUGCACUAAGUUCUUACUAUAUGUGGGGUCAGGAAAAGGACCGGACAACAAGAGUAUAUCGUAAGCAGUCUUACUAAGGAUUUUAGCGAAUUAUUUAAGGUUAUUUAUCAUUAGUAUGUAGGAACACUCAAUAAUAUAACAUUUUGAACUAUGGUAUAAGCUUCAUCAUCCGAGGAAAAGAGCCCGGAUCACCAGUUAAGAUAGAGGCGGAUCGACGAAAGGAGAAAAAAUAUAUUAAGUGGGAAUCGAUCGAUGUAUUUUUAGGUAAAUAACUCUAUAGUCAGCCAAAUGCACCAUUCAUUUUUUGUGAAGCAUGUGUGCCAAUAAAUGAUAUUAGACCUAUUCUAAAGAAUAUAUACAUAAAAUACUUAAUUUGACGAAAAAAUCAUAAAUUUAUGUGUUCCAUACAAGAUCCUAUAAAUUCGCUCCUGAGUUAAGACCUCUAGAUGACCGCUUAGUAAUAAAGGAGAUAGGGUGUAAAGACAGCCAAAAGAUUAUCUAGCAAGUAUAUCUAAAAGAAUGCGUAAUAAUUUAGUGAUCAAACGCUCUUAUGUCAAAGAUGGACGUGACUAAGAGAUCCUACCGAAGCUUUGGGAUAUCAAAAUACAUCGACAAAUUAUACAAAUAAAACCAAAUCUCUCAUACUAUAACAAAUGUAAAUUACACAACGGCAAAAUUCUGAUUUUCAUUGUAGUUCUAUACCUAUGUAAUUCAAAUCUUUAAAAAAAUGGUUCAAAGAAAGGGAUAAGGGGUGACAUCAUAUUUCGUGAGAACAAAAAGCAACGCGGUCCCCCUCCACCAAACCACACGCCGUCGUUUUAUCAGUUAUUAGUUGUCUCUCUAAUUCUCCCUCCUUUUGCUUCUCUCUAUCUAUUGUCGUCUUCUGUCACUCUCACAAUCUCUCUCUACUAGCUUUGCUCCAGCGAACUACAAUUCUCACUCUCACAUUUCUCUACUCCCCCUUUCUCUCUCACACAUUAACACCCUUACUGUGUGAACUUACCAUUUCAACUCCCAAAAAAAAUAAAGUUCAUUGCUUUACGUGUUUUUUUAGCUGUUCUUGAAAUUAUCAAACUGACCCACUUGAAAAACCCUAACAAAAAUCAGAUCCAACUCACGUUUUAGACACCCAUUUCACUAAAUCUUGGUUAGUUUUGUAGUUUAAAAAGCUAUGCAUUCAUAGGGCUUAAAAAUGGCUAGCUCUGACCCGAAUAAGAAACCACGGCCCGGUCCAUGGCCACCCGCUCCGGAAUCUGCUGCAAUGCCACCUUCUUCUUGGGCUAAAAAGACUGGGUUUCGCCCCAAAUUCUCUGGUGAGACCAAUGCUAGUGAUUCUGGGCAAAUUGGGUUACAACAACCACAGUCUUCUCAGCCAACCCGUAGGAGAGAGUCCGACCCGAAUUUGGAUCUUGAAGCGGGUCGAGCUAGGCCUCCUAGACAGGAUAAAGCUAAUGGGGAAACUACAAGUGAAAAAGAUAAGCCUGUGAGGAAAAGGAGAGACUCUGAUGGUGGUGGGGGUGGGGUGAAUAAGAGUACUAAUGGACAAGCAGCUGGUACUACCACUGCUACUGCUGAGCCAGCUGCUGCAGCUACUACGGUUCAGCAGACGACUCGAAGAGCUUCUGGGAACGAAGAGCCUGUGGAUGUGUUGCCACAAACAGUUGAUGAUGAUGAUGGUUUUAUGUCUAGGCAUUCUCAAAUGAAAUAUGAGCUUAGAGAUACUCCUGGUCUUGGUGAGACCUUAUGCUUCAUUAUCUUUAUUUGAAUAUGUGCCAUUGUGUCCGGCCAACUUGCACGUUGACUAGUACACCUCGCAGCAGCCUACAUUGCAACUGAAUUAUUAUUUGAAUAUGUUAGUUACAUGGGCUUUGAUGAUUCAUAGUCGACCCCAACUAAUUUCACCGAAUUUUUUGUUGAAUAUGUUAGUUACAUGGACAUUGAUAUAGCCAACCCAACAUGUUUAGGAUUGAGACGUAGUAGUAGUUGUUGUAUGUUAGUUUAUCCAGAAAAAGCUACACAUGUUUCACUGAAUUGCUUGUUAAUAGGAUAAUGCGUUGCUAUGUGUUUGUGUUUUGGUAUUUUUUAUGUUUUGAGCAUGUAACUGCAAUAUUGAGUCUUGCUAAAUGUGAUUAGGUUGAAAUUGAGAUGAGUUACACCCGUUUAUUUGCAAAGAUUUAAUCUUUUAAUUAAUUGAAAAAGCUAUGUUGCGUAUUUCACUGAAUUGCUUGUUGAUAGAUAAUGAGUUGCUAUUUGUUUGUGUUUUUGAUAUUUUUUCUUCUUUUGAGCAAUGAGAAUGUAACUGCAAUAUUGGAUAUUGUUAAAUGUGAUUAGGUCGAAUACGGGAUGAGAUACACCUGUUCGUGUGAAAAGAUAUAAUCUUUUAGUCUAACUGUGAGAUUAUUGAUGCGUGUUCAUAUGUUGCAGUUCCUAUUGGACUCUAUGGAUUUCAACAUUAUCUUUCAAUGUUGGGAUCGUUGAUACUAAUUCCUCUUGUGAUAGUUCCAGCAAUGGGUGGUGACCAUGUGAGUACUUUAUUUUUGUUCUUAUUUUAUUUAAUACAAUAUUAGUUUUGUUUUAUUUCUGUUUUUAUUUAACUGAUGUGAACUGAUAAAAGUUAGUACUUAUAGGAGGAUACAUCAAAUGUCGUCUCCACUGUGCUCUUUGUCUCAGGAGUGACGACGCUGUUGCACACAUCAUUUGGCUCGAGAUUGCCUCUAAUACAGGGCCCUUCAUUUGUAUAUCUUGCUCCUGCACUUGCAAUAAUUCAUUCCCCAGAGUUCUUAGGAUUGAAUGGAAAUGUAUGUUUCAACACUCCUUUUUGCUAUGUUAUUGAGUAGUAUUUUACAAGGGUCCAUAUGUAUAUGUGGUUCUGGCAUCCCACAAAAUCUUAUUGAGUAGCGAAAACAUUCCUCUUCACCUAAAAUGAGGUAUGCUGCUUUAAAUGUUGAAUUUGUGGUUCAGUACUGCAGUUACUAAAUGUUUCACUUUAAGCAUCUAGUUAGCAGCGUACCUUUUUCUGUCUGUAAUGAAUUGUCAUACAAUAACCUGUGUGGCUUCAUGUACCUCAUAAGUCAAGCAGUGUUAAUUUCUUUGGGAUGUGGCUCUUACGAUAGUUUCCUUUUGAAAAAGGGAAAAUCUUUUUUGAGGGAUCUUACAUGAGUACUCUAUUUUUCUUCAAGAAGCCAAUAUGAAUCAUUGUUAACUUGCAAAGCAUCUUGUUAGACAGAGUUUGAUUUCUCUCACUUUUAUUUUUUGCUUUCCAUAUCUCUCUUGCUUUCAGUCUUUGCUAAACUAGCCUUGGUCGUUUGCUUUGAUUCUUGUCCCAUCACUGACUUCAACUGUAGCACUAAUUGUUGAUCAAUCACUUUGUCUUGUAAGUAGUUAUUUAUGUCAAAACUAUUGUAAUAAGAAGGUUUCCAACCUGCAGAAUUUCAAGCAUAUCAUGAAGGAGUUGCAGGGAGCUAUAAUAAUUUCUUCAGCUUUUCAAGCAAUGCUUGGAUACAGUGGGCUGAUGUCAGUAUUUUUGAGGUAAGAAAUUCUUGACCGACAUUUUUUUUUUAAUGUUUUCUUCUUUGUUCUCAUGCUAUGCUGCCAAUUCAUGCUUUCUUAGAUAUGCAGCUGAUAUCUGGAGCCUCAUGUGGAUUCUAAUAAAAAUGAGUAUUAAAGGAAAAUGGCAAUAUCUCGAUAAGAAAUUCUUGACCGACAUUUUUUUUUCAAGCAAUGCUUGGAUACAGUGGGCUGAUGUCAGUAUUUUUGAGGUAAGAAAUUCUUGACCGACAUUUUUUUUUUAAUGUUUUCUUCUUUGUUCUCAUGCUAUGCUGCCAAUUCAUGCUUUCUUAGAUAUGCAGCUGAUAUCUGGAGCCUCAUGUGGAUUCUAAUAAAAAUGAGUAUUAAAGGAAAAUGGCAAUAUCUCGACUGUCUUAUGAUGCUAUAUGAUGUUAGGGGAAAUGUAGCUUUAGUUUUAACUGAGUACAAUCGAGAGUGAUCUUUUGGGUGUUAAUUGAGUGACAAUCAUCGUCUUUUAACAUCUUUAGCGGGUCUAGUAGUUUAGAUUGGCUAGCCACCUAUUUCCUGCGGAGGUAAUUCCUUCACCUCCCCCCGUUCCCUUUCUGCCUUCUUAGCCAUUAUAUGUAUACCAUGGUUAUGGAGGGGCCCAUUUUAGUUUGACAGGUCCUAUAUCAUUCUUGUUUUUUUAUUGUGAAGGAUCAUUCUUGUUUAGUUGCCUUUCAAGCUGCUGUCUUUUUAACAGUCCGUAUGUUGGAUUCUUAAAGGAGCGGCAUAUUAUCUAUUCAAUUAGGGGUUUUCUCGCAAAUGAGGAUCCAUAAAGUAAUGACAGUGUUGUGAUGUUAUGUUACUUGGCUUCAAAACUGAAGGAGGAUUACCUGAUCCAAAGACACUGGUUACAGAAAUGUUCAAAAUAUUAAAAGCUCAAGGACCAACAGUCUUUGGUGUAAAGUGGUUGAAUUGAAUAGGACACGCUAAUAGAACUGUCACUAUCAUAUUUUUUAGUUGAUUCUCAAUUUUGUACUUAUUGAUGGUGUGCUAUCAUUAAUAAAGCUUCUAGAAACUCUGUGUCAUGAUUAAUAAUGUGGCUCAACUAUCAUACCAAAAGAUUAAGUAGUCCAAGUUUCAAAAAGUUAAAGGUUUAUGCCCAGAAUGAACUGCUGCACAUUUCUUUUUUUCGGAUAAGGAAGAAGCUUUAAUGACAGAAAUGACAUAGUGUUUAGGGUUCAAAGUCUUUUUUUAAAGUAAUAAUUAAAAUUAAAAAAACUAGGGUUCAAAGCUUACACCCUGAAGUAGUAAAAAACGGCUGGAGGAUAUGGGGACCAUAUGUAAGUUCUGCCUCCCUCCUGAUUUACUAUAACAUAUUUAGCAAAUCGACCAUCUAUCGAGUGUAGAAGUUUGUGAUUUGAUACAUAGGAAAAUGUGACUAAUGACAUCAGAACAGUAGUAGGAGGAGAAAAAGAGGAUAUAAUAACAUUUACGCCUCAGUCCCAAACAAGUUGGGUCAGCUAUAUGAAUCCAGCUAUAUGAAUCCUCACUUACCAUGUUACUCCAUUUAAAUCAUUCAUGCCAAUAUUAUGCAAAUUCAAAUGAAGCGUAUUAGAAAUUCUGUAUAUUUUCUAGAUGUAUAACAUCUAGAAAGAUUAAACCACUUGUAUAACAUGAGUUCUCAAAUUGCCUAUACAGAUCUUUUUCUUCCCUUGUGCCCUAUCUUUGGUUAAGUGAAGACAAGUCUGCAUGGAUCCCCAGAAUUUGUAGGUCCUGCAAGACAACUUCCUACCAUGUGAUUUUAUCUCUACCUUGUCCUAGCAACUUUGAGCAAGGAUUGUGCUAUCUGUACCGGAACCACAGACAGUAUAGCAGCAUUUCUAGCAGCAUGCACUACUCAACCCGGGAAAGCUGUAUAUUUUGCAUGCUUAUUUCUGUUGGUUUAAUAUGUAUAAUGAGAAAGGUGAAGCUGAUACCUUGAGCACUUGGGAUAAAACUAGCAUUGCGUAGCUGAUAUAUAUAAUAGUUUUAUCGUGCAGUCGACCAAGUAUUCUUUUGGUGUGGGUUACUCGUAAACUCUUCUGACCAUAUGUAUGGGGAAUCUCUAUCACAUCGUUGUCUACUAUAUUUAUUAUGCUAACGGUUCUUUUUACAGAGAGGCGGGGAUAAGAAGUUAUUUCGGUUAGCUAAAGCAAGGGAAAGGAAGGCACGUGAUCUAGACCAAGUUAGGUGUAUCAAGGGCGAGGAUGGUAGAGUUCUGAUGGGGGAAUCUCAAAUCAAACAGAGGUGGCAGGUGUACUUUCGGGACUUACUUAACGAGAAGGGGAUCGUAACAUAGAGCUAGGGGAGCUGGGGCAUUCAGAGCAACAUAGAGACCAUGGAUACUGCAUUAGGGUGGAGGAGGUCAUGGGGCUUUGCGUAGGAUGAGUAGGGGUCGAGCGACUGGGCCUGACGAGAUCCCGGUGGAGUU
rnacentral:lncRNA from 1 species